rnacentral:lncRNA from 1 species
UUUUGGUAUUUUUAAAAUGAUUUUUAUGAGGUUUUAUUGCAGCAGUAGCACUCUUUGCUUUAUCUGAAUUUUUGUAUACUUUAUUGGACGCUAGAAAAGUGAUCAUGUCGUAGAAAAUCUUUUUCUGAAAAUUUUGAUAUAUAAUUUGCCUAUGUACAAUUUUAUUUUUGUUUUCGUUAUACAGUUUUCCUUUCUGUUUUUAAUAAAAAAACUGUACGUGCCGCCCAAAUUUUAUCCGUCGCCUACGUGCACAGUGCACCCACGCCGGCCCAUGUUGUUUUUUUGUUAUGUUUGCAGAAAAAAAUAUUUUUCUUUAUCUUAAUUUUUUUUCUUCCUUCUUUUAGUGUUUGAAAAAAAAACUGCUGCACGCACGCGCGCGGCCGGCCGAAGCUUUAGGCCCAUGCGAGGCGCCUCUUUUCUUCUCUGUUUCUUUUCUUUUCAUCUAUGUUUAGUCCCACAUUGCCUAGCAUUUGACCUUUAAGCCUUUUUCCAUCAAUAAAUAUAGACCCAUAGAGACUUCAAAAAUCAUCCGAUUCGGGUUAAAUCAAAAUUUUGUUUUGACUAGAUUCCUUAAAGAAAUAUAUAUUUCUCCUCUCCGACGGGACUUUUGGAAGUUGUCUCCUCACUCCGAAGUCGUCUUUUAGCUAUAUUUAUUCGUUCUCUGUAAAUACGUUAGACAUAUUUUUUUUAGCCGUAAUUAUUUUUCUUCUGCAAAACAGCUUGGCUCUGAUUUUUCAAAUAGCCAUAACUUUUUAUUCGCUCAUCCAAAUUAGAUGAAACCAACGCCUAUGGUUUCGUCUUGUUUUCACCUAUCCAGUUAACCUGUCACGUCAACUUUUUGAAAUUUUUAAAUUUCGAAUUUUGUUCAGAUUCAUAUUCAAACUUCUUUUGAACAUAACUUGAGUUCCGUAACUCCGAUUUAGUUGAUUCUUUUUGCAAAUCGAAGCUCUUGACCUAACCUUUAUGAUAAGGCCAAAUUCACAUAAUUUUGGUACUGUUAGAAAUUGUUUUAUGUUGCAAGAGUUAUUUGCUUGGUUUUGAUGUUUUCCGAAUCGUCUUCUUCGAUCUUUCUGAUCUUUUGAGUGAUUGCUUAUGUAUGGUUACUAUUGCUUGCUCACGAUAGAUUGAACGGAGUGUGACGAGUAGAACUAUCAAGAGUUAUGAGUGCGGAUCAUCUUCAUCAACAUUGCAGGCAAGUUCACACUUUGAUCAUAUCCCUUCCAUACCCAGUUUUUAUGCAUUAGUUUCACCCUCAAACAUUGCAUGAGUAGGAUUGAUAACAUGUGGGUAUUGGGAAGUAGUUGAGGUAGUACCUAUUGCCCUGUUUAUUAUCAAACCUUUGGGAGUUACUUCUACGUUUGCUCAUAUUGCUAUGCUAUGCUAGUAGACGUGGAUUGGGUUUGAGUGUUACCAUGACAGAUGUGAGAUUGUUAAUUAAUGGUUAACCUUAAGGUGGCAACUAAAACUCACAUCUGGGUGGAUUGAGGUACCUGGGUAUUCCAGGAUUGCCUGUUUUUCUUUUGGACCGCCACCUAGGUUCAAAGGGAUCAUGAGAUUAUUCAUGCUAGAAACUUCCGUGUGCAGCCACAAGCUAUUAUGGGCUCUAGCAUAGUUGAGUAGGUUAUAUGAUCUCUUAAAGAGGUGGGCUAGCAGAUGUAGGGGAAAGUAGGCGUAACUGUCCACCCAGAGUAAAGAGUUAUUGUUUCUGAAAGACUGUGUCUCGGUCAUCCGUUUCUCAAACAUCAUGUAGUGCGAGAAUCAAGCGGAGGCGAUCGAGUCUUGUGGGGAAAAGUGCGCAAACCUCUGCAGAGUGUACAAACUAAUCAUGAUUAGCCGUGUCCCCGGUUAUGGACAUCUUGAGUAUCUAGUUCUUGGAUUAUCCCGUUGAUCUCAUCAUGUUACUUUAAUUAAUUUUGUUGGGUUUUGAUGAUGAUACUUAAUUGGGAUUGAGAAUGCUGUCAACCAUUCUCAAUGUUCAACAACCACCAUGAUAGUCAAAUAAAAAUUUAUUCCUUUGCAGUAGGGAAAAAUUGGCUUUUCGCAAAAACAUUAUAACCAUAGAGCUUUUCCACCAGCCAUAUAUGCAUGUAGUGAUAGCCUUUGUUCAUCAUUUCUCUAUGGUGUGAAUUUGCCAGCAUAUUCCAUGUGCUGACCCGUUUUCGGGCUGCAACGUUUCAUGUUGCAGGAUUCUGACGACGAGUAAGUGAUACGUUAGGGUUACGAUUUCUACACUCAACUUUGCCGUUGGUGUUGAUGGGAAUCCACAACCUUGUUACUUCCGCUAUUUGUAUUGAGGUAAUAGUAUUUACGUUACUUUAUACAUGUGAUUUACCUUUGUUAUAAAUCCUCGAGUACUGUGUGUGUCAGCAUACCGAUCCAGGGAUGACACUUAAGCACAGAGACUUGAUCGUCUGAGGUCGGGUCGCUACACUCAACUAGUAGCACGAGGGUACUACUAGUGCUAUGUACUGUACUUCUAGUAUAGUGCACCAGUUUUGAACUCUUGAAUCUCAGGGCCAAGGAGCUACAGUUGGAAGUGGAGGGUACUACUGUUCUCUAGAACCAUCGAUGUACUAUCAAUGCAGGGAAAGUACACCUGCGUAGUGGCCUAGUGGGUACUCUCGGUGCUCUAUUCAGUCGCUCCUCUCACGUAGCUGGCCUACUCAGCCGCUCCUCUCACGCACACACUAGCAGCAUGUUUAUCAGCGACGGUUACUGCAGGGGCAGAACAUUUGAGUUAUUUGAUACAGCCAGACUAGGCUUUUCGCUUCCAUUUGUGGAGGUGUAAUGGAUCUCGUCGAACUUUGUUAAUAGUUCCUUCUUUAUGAAUGAGAUGAAGCAAAGCUUUUGCCUCCGUUUCAAAAAAAACACGUCAAGAGGAAUUUCUUUUAUAGUAGAGACGAUAAUGGAGUGAAGUCCAUGCAUGCAACGCCACAAGCUACAGAGUAGUAGUAUAGCACUUUACGUACAGAGGCAUAUUGCACAGUUCCCAAUGCCCCGCCAGGCUUUUCUGGCUCCUCGGGCUUAAUUGGGAGGCGCUAGUUUAAAUAUGCUACUAGCUGAUGAGGAAGCUGCAAGCGAGGUGCGGCUAGGGUGAGCACGCGAGCCACGAGAUGCUGGGAAGGAAAACCCAUUCACGUGGCUAGGCUAUCCAGUGCACCUAGAUUGUGGUGCCGCACGUCCGUUUGAACUCAAAACUCAAACUACCCAUGUAAAAUAUUGGCUCGCAGCGAAGUUACUAUUUAAAAAAAAGGUCGUCGUGCGUUCGGCCGGGAUCGAACCCACAAAAUGAGGUAUACACUCCCGCGACCACUAGUAGUACUCGUUGGAGUACAACGCAACCUAGAAUCACCUUUUGUUGCUAGUAGUACAUUGUUCCUUACAAGAAACCCCUAAUAAUGCAAGAAACCACUAAUAAUGCCAAGAAACUACUACCACUUGCAUACGUGGCAGACUUAAGAUAAGACUACCUUAUCAACCAUUGUACAUGCUCCUACCAACCAGCCCUACCAAGAAACGACUACUCUACAAAGUGCCGUUAUAGGCACGUUUCAACCCAUGGCCCUAUUUGGAUACAUUUGUUGUCAAUCUAACCCUGCCAUCCAAACACCACUUUGGUUAGAGUUAGUUCAGGGUUAGAAUCUAACCUCUGACUUAGAGUAUCCAAACAGGGCCCGUGUCGCCCAUUAAGUCAAAGCCUUCUAUUCGACCGGGCGUUAUGACUUGUGGGACCUACAUGUCAGUCUGCACAAAGAUCCCCGAGUGACCUCCUACCUCCGGCCCGUCCACCUAGUCAUCCUUGGCCACGAGACGCAGCUACCGCCGCCGGCAGAAGGCGAGGUCAACACCGCCGGCGGUGCGGAGCCCAUCCCGCGGCAGCCCGGAUGCCAGCUCCGUCCGGCGCUCGCGACCGCUAGCUAGCCAAGAUAGCUUCGUCCAGCUGCUUGUCUGCAAGGUUUGCUAGCUAGAUUGGCACGGCGGCGCGGCGGCUUGCUCGCGCGCGCCGCGCUAAGGCCAGCCAUCUGGCUUGAGCGAAGGACAGCACGGCGGCUUGCUCGCUCGUGAGUCAUGCUCGGGGCAGCCUGCCAACCCGUGCGGAGGCCAGCGCGGCGUCCGGCCCGUCCGGCGGAGCAGCGGCCAACUCGCUCCUCACCGGCGCCACCGAUGAAUACACAUCAGCAUUGUUUGAAGUAAUGUUCAGGAAAAAUAAUGAUUUGAGGGGGAAUAACAGGAUAGAAGGUCAGAUGUGGGUCCCUCGUGUCAACGGUCAAACAAAAUGUGUUGGUUUAAGCUGCCUCGUCAGCACGGACAUGUGGGCCAACCCUGUCAUAAAUGGGUUUAAACUAAGCUAAUCGGUAGGUAGUAGUUUUUGGCGUGGAUUAAGAAAUUUUGGGUAUGUUUUUGCUAUUUUUUGUACAAUAGAUUCUUCCUAGGACUGGUUGAAAGUGGUAGUUUUUUGUUAAAUACUCUACAUAUUGUAAGUAGGAGUGAAAGUUAAGCUUUGGAACCCAAUAAGCAAGGGUAGUUACAUAGUGCAUAUGUGUACAUGAUUCAAAGUAAAUAUCAACCAUGAGUGACUAAUAUCUUGAUGGAAAACUCGAAACUAUGGAAUACUAGGGGAAAAAAUUUGCAUGGUUGGAAAUACUAGCAAUGUUCAUGUGCGUUGCAACGAAUCAUAAUUAGAAUAAUACUUAUUCACAAACUUGAUACAAAACACUCUAAUUUUGAUAUACAUAUAUCACUAGAGAUAUAUUAUGUUUCAAUUAGAAUAUAUUCCUUGGGCUGUUUUGGUGAGGUCAGGGAGGGAUGUUGUUGGUUUUAAGAUACUAAUUAUGGGUUUUUCUGCAAAUUGGUAGACAAGUGGGAUGUUUGUGAGAAAAGGCAACAACUUACCUCACAGUCGUUAGAUGUAGAUCUAAUGGUCACAAACGACGGAUGGCAGACACACCAUCAUCACCAACUUAGUCUUCUGUAGGAGUACUAGUAGCAAGAUCCGUGCAUUGCACGGAACAUCAAGAUGCAUUUUUUAUAAAAACACUCAUUGUGAUUGACCCAUGCGGGAGUAAUCCCAUGUGUAAAAACUAAUGAUAUCUCGAGAAAUAGGAGAUAAGGUGAAGAGGAGUGGGGCGUGGUGGUGAUCGGUGGUUGGACUGAGCGGAGGCAUGGGGAUUGAUGACGCCGGCAGCGGCCACCAGGCCAGUUUGUUCUAGAGGUUUCCUUUCUUAAUUGCUCAACAAUGAGGUUGUUGGAGAUAAGGAUGAACGAGGGAAGGCCUUGUCUGCAAAUGUGAAGAGGGGUGCGGGUAUCUUUUAGUUUAAUUUCCAUCAGUCAGAUAUAGAUCGGACGGUCUAUAUUGCAAGAUGGCACGCGUACGAUCAUCACCAACUCGGUUUUUUAUAAGAGAAGAAAUAUAAGUAUGGAGAUACAAACGUAUUAUCGAUACUUGUUUCCGUAAACUAGCAUCUACAUUCUAUUCAACGCCUCAGCAUGUGAGGCCUUAGCACAAUGACUUCUCGACUGUGUAAAACAAAGGUUUUCCCGUCGUCGAAAGGAGGGGGUGACAGCGGCGCGCUUUUUGGCUUGCUCUAGUCCUAGUAGUCAUACUAGGUGGUCUAAGCACGUGUAGAUUUAUUCGUUUUCACAUCUCGUGUUUGCCGUACUGGCACAACUGUUGAUGAAUAGACGGUAAGUUAUUCACGGGGAAACCCUUGUUGAGCGUGUUUGCGAGAGACAGAGACAGUGUGCGUGUGUGAUAUGUCUAGAGACUGAGGCAAUGAUAACAGAUUCUUUGUUUCUAUGUGUGUGGAGGAUAGAGAGAGACAUGUACAUGGGGCUUUGUGUUGACGUGGAGACACAUAUACAUAAUUAGAGAGUGAGUGUGUGAGAUACACAUGCGGACAUGGGGAGAUAUGAGGAUCUAGAUUAAUGGGUGUUUGUGCGUGUCUGUGUGUGUUUGUGCGCGCAUUUGUGUGUGAGAGGGAGUGUGUGUAUGUGGAGUAGAGAGACCUAGCAUGGGUGCGGGCGGGGGAGCAGACUAUUUGGAAGAGACAUCGAUUGUCUGUGGGAGAGGGGUGUGAGAGCAAGAGAGAGAGAGAGAGGAAGAGAGGGGGCGAGAGAGGGGGCGUUUGUGUCCAUAAAUGGCGUAUAGAUAGGGAGACAAUGUUGAUGUUGUUUGAAAUUGGCCUAUGUAUGGAGAUGCAAGGGAAGCGAGUCAUCGUGUGUGUGAUGGGGACUUCAUGAAGGAUCUAGAAUAGAUGGUGUAGAGAACAAUGUGCGAGAUCGAGAACGAUGAUACAUUAGGGAGCUAUGGAAAGAGUCAUGACAUAUAUGUAUACAGGGAGGAGCUGGGGCGGAUCCGCAUGUGGGAGAGAUAGAAAGAGGAGAGUGGUGCACAAGGAGACAAAGUGUGCUUGUUUUGCAGUGGGGGUGGUGUGUGAGGUGAGUGUGCGAGAACCACAUAACUAGGGAGAUAGACGUUUGGGGGCGACGUUUUGUGUGUAUGGGAAAGAUACACUCUACAUAGUGCGUGUGCUUGGGAAAGAGAGAUGCCGGGAGACCUAGCUAGNNNNNNNNNNNNNNNNNNNNNNNNNNNNNNNNNNNNNNNNNNNNNNNNNNNNNNNNNNNNNNNNNNNNNNNNNNNNNNNNNNNNNNNNNNNNNNNNNNNNNNNNNNNNNNNNNNNNNNNNNNNNNNNNNNNNNNNNNNNNNNNNNNNNNNNNNNNNNNNNNNNNNNNNNNNNNNNNNNNNNNNNNNNNNNNNNNNNNNNNNNNNNNNNNNNNNNNNNNNNNNNNNNNNNNNNNNNNNNNNNNNNNNNNNNNNNNNNNNNNNNNNGGGAAAGAUACACUCUACAUAGUGCGUGUGCUUGGGAAAGAGAGAUGCCGGGAGGCCUAGCUAGAGAGUGGGGGAAGAGAUGUGUGCAUGCCCAAGAGAUAAAGUGAUAGAGACCUAUAUUGGGGUCCGGACUUUAGAAGAGAUAGGGGUGUUAAUGUGCUCGUGUGUUGGUGUUUGGGGGAGAGAACGACUUCUGUGUGUGUGGGGGGGGCGACGAGGGGGGGUUGCUUCAGAUAAAGAGUGAGGUGUCUAUAUUUGAGGGACUUUAGCAUAAUUGAGAUAUACAUGGUCAAUAGUGUGUGCACUCAAGGUUGAUCAAUUUGUUUCACAGUUUGGACUAUGAGAUAACGAUACUUUUGAACAUGCGUGAUAUACUUUGAUGUACCAGAAUUACAAACCUAAGAUUGGAAUUUUGGAAUUCGACUCCAUCAUUAGCUUUUGUAAUUCAUUUAAACGGAGGUACAUUUUUAAGCUGGGAUUUCAUGAUUUCAAAUUCAUAUAUCAAACCUAGAGAUAUACACAUACGGGCAUGUUCAAACUUUAUAAUCAUCCACUUUAUUCAUACACAUACACAUUUUUGCUUUUGUCAUCAUAUUUAGGAUAAACACAUUUGGAAUUUCAUUUGAAUUGGACCAUAUGAUGGUAUUUGCCUGUAGUAGCUCAAUGAUCCAUAUUUGAAUUGAAUGGACAAUCUAAGUUUCGAGUUGGAGACAUUGAUUUUCAAAACUUGCACUUUUUUGCGUGCAAAACAAACAAAUUCUCAGCCAUGAUAUCAUAGUCGGCCGUACAAGAGCAGAAUAUAAUUUCAGGCGCCAAAAGCUUUCAAACUUUCUGCUCACAUCGAGAUAUCUCGCGCCCAAAAGUUUAGCCCUGCGAUAUUCCUGUUUUACCCCCGCCACAUGAACGGAAAAGGGCUGCUUUGGUAACUCCAUUGUUUUCCCCUCUUUGCCCCCAACAUUCCUCCCCAGAGCCCCUCCCCUUCCCCUCCCCGACCCCCCCCCAACCACGGCAAGCCGCCGAAUCUAGUCCUCCGCCGCAGCGGUGGACCUCACACCCCGACGGAUCUACCUUCCGCACCUUGGAACCCCCAACUGCCAACUCACCACUUCACCGGAGCCGCUUCAGCGACUGGCUUGUACACCGCUCCAGAUCUCCUUGACUGCCAUCAUGGUCCACCGCACCGGAUCUGCUUAACCGGCGCCCUCGUCCACCAUAGUGUAGGCCCUUCACUGACUCCCUCGUCCGUCCCUUCGCUGGCCCUUCAUACAAGCCCUCGUCCGCCGCAACAGAUCCGCCUCAACGAAAGCACUGUACAACGCGCCCGCCGAAGCCUUCGUCCACUGCACCGGACCCGCUCCACGGACGCCAUAUUCAACUCCACCGGCCCUGCUUUACCGAUGCCGCAGCCUCAUCAGGUUAUUUCAAUCUGUACUCCUUCGAUUUUUCUCUUUAUAGUGCAACUGUUCACUUACCACAGAUGAGCUUUCUUGUAUGUCGACAGGCGCCGCAACCGUAGCACCGGAGCCGCUUCAGCGACGGCGACAGCCGACCCAAACUCAACCGCAACACGAGCACCAUCGACGAUCCUUAGCUAUCAAGUAUGCCAACGAUACCCAUACGCCGCCGAGAAUCAGGUACUAUUAUCCAACGGCCGGCGCCUACGUUCACUUUCUUAGCAUAAGCACCGCACCUUUGAAUUUCUUCAGGGCAUCAUUCAGUUUUUCAUGAGACGCGUUAUUCUGCUUGCACCUAUAGGGCCAUACUUCUGGCAGUGAACAUGUUACAUGUGCUAAAUUACAUACCAGUGCACAUAUAGUUAAUAUGCUUUAGUUUUGUCCUAAGUAUUACUGUACUUCCUAGAUAUCACUGCCUACUAUUUUACUUCUUGCAUGCUAUAUUUAUGAUAAUGGUGUUGUUCUGAUGCCACCUGUUGGUUCCAUCAGACUGCUUCAUGUUCUCUAUGCUUAAUUACACAUCAGCAAACUAGCAUGUGGUUCCGCUGGUUUUUGUUCGUUUUACCCUACAUUUUCUGAUGCUAGCUAUUACAUCACUGCUACGAGCCUCUGUUCAUUACUUUUUUGUGUGUUCUUGAUCUUCCCAAGUUGCAUGACUAAUUUGAUGCUUCUAUUAAUUAUGGAGCUGCCAACCCCAUCAAGCAAAAUAUUUGUUCUUUUGGGGCUGGCACCUCGAACAAGCAUAAAAAUAGAGGGAAGCAGAUAUAUUGUCGUGUAUGCACACACCCUUCUUUCAUUAGUUUAGAUGAACCAUUGAUGAUCAAUUCGAACCAGUGCAUGCGAUUAAAAUUAAUUUUACCUAAAUAGAGGGUGCAGAAUAAACUACAACAAGUAGAUUUGCAACCACGGGAUGCUGACGAUAUCUUCAAAGAACAUUGCAACAGCAGCGAGGCUUCACAGCAACAUAUGGUAAGCCAGUGUGUUUUAUUACAUGUGAAAUGUAAUGCGUGUGGGCUGCUUUCUUGGCUUGUGCCCUCAACCUGUAAUCCUACAGAAUAACAAGUAGUUCAGUUGUCUGCUUUGUUGUAUUGCUUGAUUCGAAUGCUUGUUUGUUACUUGUUACGCUAUACCUGAGUUGGCCAAUAUGUCAGCAGUGCCUGCUAUACUAUCGUAAAGAAAUGCAUGCCUAGUUCAUUUGAGUCCUUAACUUUUCCUCUGAACUUCAUCACAAGACUGUCUUCGUAGUUUAUAUGAGGCCACACUGUUAAGUGCUUUCUCAGAUUAUUUCAACUGCUUAGAUGCCUUGGCAACUUAGCGGUGGUACACUCCCUUUCAACUAGGGAUGUCAACUGGGUCCCGUUUAAUCCCGAUUAAAGUCCACUAGUGGUCUGAUAGUUCAAAAGAGUUUUUGUUUUUUGAGGAAAAUGAACCAGGGAGCUAGCAAAAACUAACUAGAUGGGACUGGCGGAUGUCGUUUAUUUGCCACUUACAUCCCUAGUUUCAUCUUACCAUUUUAAUUUCUUUUCGGCUGGUGCUGCUUCGAACCAUUUAAAUAUAGCUUGCCAUGCUCGGCAAUAAUUUGUAUGUCGUUUACCAUGUAAGCUUACUGCCUAGAUCAUGCGAUAACUAUCUCUUACUUAUGUCCAGCGGAAACCUUUCAGGAUGUCGUUCACACUAGGACACAAUAUACAACCCCAGAAUCUAUUUGUGGAAGCAGUGCGCCAUCCAUGUUACCAGAUGGUAGCAGUUCAGAGGCAACACCGCCGGAGAGCAAUCUGAGCACAGAUAUUAUAGUUCUUGAGGCUCUACUAGAGGCAGAAAGAGAUGGUGUGGCUGCCAUGAAUGAGGUAAUCUCGAUCUUGAAGCUGGAAAUUAUGCAAUUAGCUGCACGCAUUAUGCAAGCAACCCAAGAAUUGGAGGAAGUAAGAAUGUUGCAUUUGAAGACGGAGGAGGUCCUGCUACUUCUGCUAUCUGAAGCCCAGGGUAAUCCCAGUUCUUCUUUAGAUAGCAGUUGAAAUUGUCAUUAGAUUAUUGUACUUGCAUGUCGUGUCAUGUCUCUGAAUGGAUUAUGUUGUCAGACCCCCUAUGUUGUCCAUGUGUUGUAAUGAUCCGAAUUUUUUAGGUGAGGUAAUCCUCAGUACUUGUAUGAUUGACAUAAGGUGAACUGUUUUUCGUGUGAGCAUAUUGUAUUGGAUGAAAUAAUUGUUUGACUCAAAGUGUAUCCAACCUACUGAAUUCGAAGAUCACGACAUUUCUAAAUCAUAAUCAUAUAUAAAGGUGGAAUAAAUCUUUGUUGUGGUUUUGAAGAAAUAAAUAACAAAACGUAGAAUUAUCUGUGGAUAUUCGUAAUCGAAUAAAAAUUGGAUUUGGAUUUAGUUGACAGGGCCCAGGGCAAACGUGAAUGCUAAUUCUCCCAAGUUUUGAACGAAGCGGCUAAACACCCACUAUAAUUUGUGGGCUGCCCGAAGCAAGUGUUUGCGAGAUGGAAAUUACUGUCUACCCCUGACACUUGACAUCCUUAUCGACCGGAUUUACACUGUUGUCAAUAAGGGUAGACUAGUAACUUCAAUCAGACGUGACACGACGGCCUCUGAGCCCAUUCAGACACGUGGGGCGCCAAACGUGGGUGGCAAAACACAUUUGAUUCAAGCUCGUCCGAAAGACAUGUGUCUCUCCCUCCAUUUCCCCAUUAAUCCACAGUGGGCGGCAAAACAAACUCUCCUCGUCCGAAAUCGAUGUAGGCUAAUAUUUUAAAUAGGGGCAGAUGUGUAACUUCCCUCAGACGUGACACAACUGCCCUACCUGUCAGCCCCGUUCAUACACCAUGGCGCCAACCGUGGGCGGCAAAACACCCUCUCCUCGCCCAAAAUCGUUACCGGCAAAUAUUUGGGAGAUGCGAGAUCACCGUCUUAUCCCCAACCGACGUGAUGUCUGAAAUUUUAAACGGGGGAUAAGUUCGUAACUUUCCCACAUUUCAGACAAGCGCGUCCCAAAGUUUGAGAUCCCCCCUCCCCCUCCAUUUCCCCAUUCAUACACCAUCGGCGCCACGACAACCUCCCCACUGCGGCCAGCCUCCUCCGUCCGCCACCCCAUCCUCCACCUUGCCGAAGCCGCUACCCCUACCCCGUCGUCCACUGCAAGAGAUGGACGUCUCUCAUCCACGGUGUCGGAGCAGGAUCCUUUCAUCACGUCGUCUCGCUUCAUCGGCGCCGUCGUCCACUUUGUCGUUGCCGCUCCUACGACCGCCUCGUCCACGGCAACAUGAUUUAUCCCCCAACCCGGUCGUCUGCCAUCUAAAGUCUUCUUCCCCGCCGCCGACAGCCAUCGCACCCGCAGCACCCUCGACGUAUCGGCAGGGGCCUACACGUUGUCGCAAGAGAGGUGGUACUCUUCCAUAUGUGCUUAAGUUAUUGAUCUCACCCGGAAAAUAGAUCUUAAAUUGUUUACUGUACUUUUCUUGUUCGUACCAAAUCGUAGUGGCUAGUUGAAUGCAAACAUUGGUUGCGAAGUAGCUUUGCCCGGUUUGCACCUUCAGAUCCGCCAUGUCACGGUCACUAUACUCAUAAAGCUUAUGGUUUCCCCCUUUAUAUUCACUACCACCAUCGUAGGUGCUUCCCUGCUUCGUGUCGUGCUAGCACUGCUCCUCAAGACCUCAACCAUCAAGCGAAACAACAUGCCACUCAUAAUUCCAAAGCUUAUGUGUUGAAAUACGAAUCUGAUAUGAUGCUCAUAUUACUAAAACAGAGAACGUUUAAUUGGUCACCUGAUGUUCCUAUAUUCGUUUCGAAAAGCAUGUGCGCCACCCACUGGUCCAGCUAGUUCCACUUUCCUGAUUUUACUCUUGAUGCUUAGGGUUUUCCCCUUUUAUCUACUCUACUAUGAUCUGCAUAGGUGCUUUCUGUCAUACUAGCAUUACUCCACCCUUCAAGCUAAACAACACAACACUCAAAAUUCCAAAGCUUAGUUGUUCAAAUAUGAUUGUGAUAUGAUAUUGAUAUUAGUUAACAGACACAUUUAAUUGGUUAGCUAAAGGUCCCACUUGAGUUUCCAAAUGCAUGUCGUCACAUAUAGAGAGACAGCAGAAUUGCAUUUCUUUGCCACUUGUUGACUGUACUUUAUUGUUCAUACCAAAUCUUAGUUGUUAUUUCAAAGCAAAUAUCGGUUGCUAACUACCCUUUGCGCAGUUUGCAGCUUCAGAUCUGCCAUCCCACUACCACGGUCAACACUAUACUCAUCAUGCUUACGGUUUCCCCAUUUUAUGAUGACCACGAUCAGCCUACGUGGUUCGUGUCGUAAUAGCACUGCUCCACCCAUCGAGCUAAACAAGCUUAGUUGUACAAAUUCAAAUCUGAUAUUAUGCUGAUAUUAGUAAUACUGAGAUAUGUUUAAUUGGUCGGCUAAAUGUUCCUACUUUAGUUUCGAAAUGCAUGUGAGCCACAUAUGGAGAGACCCGAAGGAAUAGUAUUUCUCUGUGCGCUCUGGUUCAUCAUGGGUGGCCAACCGACAUUGUAUAGAAAGACUUGUAAUAUCUUCAAUCUACUUGCUCUUCUGCUCUUCUUUAAGAUGAUCCUCUUCUCUUGCGGUCGACUGGUCAGGUCGAGUUAUUCUCCCUUAGUAUAUUUUGAAUCUGUCAGGUCAGGUCGACUUGUUCUUCUUUACUAUAUGUUGAAGCUGUCAUCUGCGAAGUAUCAUCACUUCUGGAGCUCUCAUAUUUUGAGUAGUAGGCCACAUUAUAUUAAUGCACACACCAAAUUACAGCAUGCAUGGCACCUCUUAGAAGUUGCAGAGAUAGGACAAAGGGGUUUACAGGGAGGAAGUAUCGGAUUAGAAUCACUUCUGCAUUACAAAGAUAAUCUCACUUGUUUUUAUGUUUUCAUGCAUGUCAGGUAUUGAACAUUAUCAAAAUGAAUAUGAGAAUGGGCGCACGAGAGGAAUAUUGCGGAACGAUCCACUGGCUAACAAACUUGGCAUGGUGGAGGAUGACCUAUCUUAUUCACCCAUCAAGGUGCAUGCUCUAACUUGGCAAGGUUGUAUUGGUCGCACAUAUUUUUCAUCUGACCUCUUGCAUUACUUCUACUUUGUUACACCAUCUGCUUAGUUUAAGCAUCAUAUAUGAGUAUAUGCCAUACCUAUCCAUUUUUUGUACCUAUUCCAUGUGUCGUCAUACUAUGUUUUUCCAGUCAAAUGUUGUUCUUUCGUAAUAGAUGUCCAAAAGGAAGAGGGUGAUUGCAGAUCCUCAAGGAGUACAAACUAGGUAUUUGGAAAAGGUAGUGAUACCUGUUAAAUCAGAUAGAUCAGCAGCCACAGAAAACAUAGGCCCAACUGUAACAGACUUUACCCCUACUCCAGUGGCCAAACCCCUAUUAGAACUGCUGGCAGCCCAGUGUCGGGUACUGUCUAUGAUAUGAAUUCAAAAUUUGAACUCCUAAAUGUCUGCAUGUGCCUUACCUUCUCUCUUGUAUGAAAACUAAUUUCAGAUGAAUCUCCUUGCUCAAAGGAUCAUAGGAUCUCACGACAAUACUGGGCUCUGCAUUGCUCUUGUCAGUACCUCUUGCCCUUUGUCAGCAUACUUGCACUCAUUGUUGUUUGAUUAUGUAGCAUCACUGUAAAUGUUCUCUUCUUUAUCCUUCCUUUGCUUGAAAUUAUAAGAUCUAUAUUUACUCUUAGAUAAAUGUAGAAUUAACACAAUGGUUAUGAAGUUUUGGAUUGCUCAUGUAAGUACCUGUUGUCAUGUACUCCCUCUGUAUCGAAUUAAUUGUUGAUCAAUUGGAUGUAUUUAGAACUUAAUAGUGCUAGAUACAUCCAUUUGAGCGACAACUAAUAAGGACGGUGGUGGUAUUACUGUACAUGCAUCGCGAGAUAGUUGAUUGUCUAGCAUUAGUCUGCAUCUUAUCUGCCCUGCCCUCCACUUUCUCCAAAUAUCAUAUCUACAUUCACUCUUACCAAAAUGUUGAAUAAAGCCAAUGCCACUGCACACAUUGAUGUCUCCACUCCUCUUGUCAGUACCUUUUGCCUUGUAACGCUGUACUUAAUUAAUUGCUAUUUGAUUAUGUAUCAUCAGUCUGCACCUGAGCUUCAUUAUCCUCUAUUUCUUCCAAUAUUAUUUGAUCUAUAUUUACUCUUUGCAAAAUGUAGAAUAAUGGCAACGCUUAUAAAGAAUUUUCUUUGGGGAAUUUAUUGAAUUAUCGUUCCAUCAACAUGGAGAAGGGCUUUGUCCAGCCCGUGUUAACAUGUAAUGUAAGUUCAUCCUUCUCAAGCCUUCAAACUUUGUUCUAGUAUAGAUUUGGAUAGGCAUCAUUUCCUCCACUGUUGUUUACAUCUGAUUGGAUGUCUGCAACAACUACCAGUUUUAAAUUGUAGUUGUAAAAACAUGUUCCUUAUGCAGAACAGAUCCAUUUAUUUGCUUAUAUAAUUGUGAAACCUGUUACGUGUCUCCUUGUUUCUCUUUCAGAGUCGUAUCUCUUAUGUCAGGCAGAACUUUAGGAAAGAUAGUGAGCCAAACCAUCUUGAGGACAGCGAGAUGACCCCAAGGUCCUGUCUUGAUGAAGACAGUGAGUUGAAGCUACUCACCAGCAGGUGUGAGACAACCUCUGUGCAGUCGCUGCCUCAAUCAGUUCGACUUCUUCAGUCUCAACUUAAAGCGGAAAGGCUUGCUUCAGCUCAGCUCCGACUUGAAGUCAAAGAUGUAAUGAAGAUGUCAGAGGACUGCCUUGCGCACUAUGGUGCCAUACAACUAUGGAUGAAGCAUCUAUUGUUGACACAACUGAGGUCUCAUCAGCUUGUUCGGCUGCUUGCGGGGGCCCGAGCUUGCCAGGUCUAGUGCCUUCUGAAGUGCUCUCAGUUUUGUAUAUUCUUUUGUCGGCGCGUUUAUAUGCACUGGUGGCGACCUUUGAUGCCCAGUGUAUGUAAUCCGCGGUCAUGUUGCGCUUUAUUAUCACCGGGUAGCGAACUUUGAUUCCUAAUAUGCCGUAAUUUCUUUGUUGUAUAGUCUAGGUUUAUUCUUUGGUCGGUAUGCUGUAAUUUAGGCUGGAAGGUUCAGUGGAUCUCAGUGUUGUCGGUCUUCAGGCCGGCUCGUUACUCAUAUGGGCCAAAACGUGGGCCUAUAAUCAGCUUGGGCCAUUAGCAGGUCUAAACCUAUAGUAGUUUCCCGCCUUUAACAGGCCAUGGGCUACAUAUUUACUGUAGUGACACUGGGCUUCCUACGGGCCGUAGAAACAAUGGGCCUUCUACGGGCCGUAGAAACAAUGGGCCUUCUACGGGUCGUAUCAUCAAUGGGCCUUAGACGGGUCGUAUGAUCGAUUGGCCAAACAUGGGCCAAAAACAGACCGCAUUAUGGCCGUAAAUGGGCUAGAGUUGGAGUCAUCCGUUCAUGGGCCGACCAUAACGGGUCGUCGUUAAUAGGCUGUAUUUGAUGACGCUAUGAAAACGACCCAACGUAUUAACGGGCCACAAACGGGCCGACUGUAACCACGGGCUGAAUUUGGCCCACAAGCAGAAGAUGGCAGUAACGGGCCGUAAGUAACCGAAUGCUGGAAAUGAGCCCAAGAAUAAUGGGCCCUGAGAAGGCCGAAAGAUAACAUGGGAUGCAAACGGCCCAAUGGAUUAAUGGGCCAUUAAUGGGUAUAAAGUGAUACACUGUUCAUUACGGGCCAGUUUCACCACAGGCCGUUAAUGGGCCAAGAGUUACAAACGGCCUCAUCUGGGCCGAAAGACGUCAUGGGCCAUACAUGGGCCGGAACUUAAAAUGGGCUGGAAUCAUAUUGGACGGCCCAGAUGAUGCUACUGGGCCUAAUUCGGAUAGGUCGUAACUGGCCCUGGGUUAGCGGGCUAUACAUGGGCUAUAUGCGAACAGGCCGUUAACAGGCUUUCCGUGGGCCAGCCCGCCACCUUUUGACCAAGUCAAAUGGGCCGGCCUUUUCACAGGAAUGGGCCUCUGUUGGGCCGUGCCACGUGUCGACGUAUCAUAGGCGCCUUCUGUCCAAUGAGUGGAUGACAUCUGUCCCAACGGUGAGCCGACACGUGUUUCCUCCAGCCAAUGAUGAUUUUACACGUGGAAAAUCCCCAUUGGUCGGGGCUGUUAGCGGGUUAUCAGAUCCAAAACCGGACCCGAUAGCUUAACGGCGUUCCGUUACGGUGGACGCCACAUGUCGGUCACCCUUGACGAAAGCACUUCUGUGACGCGCGAUUUAUCGUCAUGGAAGUGGACACUUCCGUGAUGAUAAUUUUGGUAAUGUCAUGGAACACUUCUACGACAACACAGGUAUGACUAUCUUGAUUCUGUCAUAAAAUUGUCAUGGAUGUACAUGCAUGACAAAAAUGCGACCUACUGUGACAAACACGUAUCAUCACGGAAGUGUAUUUUUUUGUAGUGUUACAUAGCGCCUAAUGAUUGACACGCAAGUCAUACAAUAAUUAAAGACAACCCUAUGGCUCCUCCCGGUUGCCGUAUGCAUCCACAUGCAAGUCGAUAUAAACUAUUACAAACAUGAUCAUCUCAAAUAUAUCUCAUCAUGUCUUUGCCCAUAUCAUAUCACAACAUACCCUGCAAAAACAAGUUAGACAUCCUCUAAUUGUUGUUGCAUGUUUUACGUGGCUGCUAUGGGUAUCUAGCAAGAACGAUUCUUACAUACGCAAAGCCACAACGGUGAUAUGCAAAUUGCUAUUCAACCUUCUACAAGGACCGCCUUUGUCGAAUCCGAUUCAACUAAGGUGGGAGAGACAGACACCCGCCAGCCAUCUUUAUGCAACAAAGUCACAUGUCUGUCGAUGGAACCGGUCUCAUGUACGUGGACAUGUAAAGUUGGUCCGGGCCGCUUCAUCCCACAAUACCGUCGAAUCAAGAAAAGACCAAGGAAGGAAGCAAUCUAAAUAUCAACGCCCACAAACUCCUUUGUGUUCUACUCAUGAUGUUAUCUACGCAUAGACCUAGCUCAUGAUACCACUGUUGGGGAACCUUGCAUGGGAAACAAAAAAUUUCCUACGCUCACCAAGAUCAAUCUAGGAGAUGACCAUCUACGAGAGGAGAGAUUGCAUCUACAUACCCUUGUAGAUCGCUAAGCGGAAGCGUUAAGAAACGUGGUUGAUGUAGUCGAACGUCUUCGCGACCCAAUCACGAUCCAUCCCGCGAACUCCCAAUCCAAGUGCCGGACAGACGGCAUCUCCGCAUUCAACACACAUACGGCUUGAUGACGCCUUCACCUCCUCAAUCCAGCGAUUGAUGGUGAAGUGGUAGCUCGAGUCCUCCGGCAGCACAGCAGUGUGGUGGCGGAAUCUCAACAGAGCUUCGCUAAGCACUACGGACAGGAAGAGGGAUGCGAGGGAGAGGAGAGGCAGCGCCGUUGCGUGGAGAUGUGCUCUUCGGGUGCGGCUGCCCUCUCUCUACCUGUUUAUAUAAAGGGGAAGGGAGGAGGGGGUGGCGCCCCCUAGGGUUUCCCCUAGGGGGGCGGCGGCCAGGGCAGAUGGGAUCUCCCCUAGGGUGACUUGCCCCCCAAGCCGAGAGGUGGGAAGCCCUAGGGUAACGCCCCCAACCCUCCUGGUUACAUGAGAUGCGGUGAGGGAGGCGCUCAGCCCCUUAGUGGGCUGGUUUUCCCCCUCCCUUGGCCCAUGGGGCCCCCCAACACUUGUCGGGGCCCCCCGAAACCCCCUUUCGGUGACGCUGGUCAUCACCCGGUACCCCCAGAACAAUUCCGGACUCCAAUACCAUUCAUCCAAUAUAUCGAUCUUCACCUCCGGAGCAUUCUAGAGUUCCUCGUCACGUCUGGGAUAUCAUUCGGGACUCCGAACAACCUUCGGUAACCACCAUAAUGACUCAACUAUACUUAUAUCGUCACCAAACAUUAAGUGUGUAGACCCUGCGGGUUCGAGAACUAUGCAGACAUGACCGAGACACCUCUAUGGUCUAAUAGUGGGACCUGGAUGCCCAUAUUGGUUCCCACAUAUUCUAUGAAGAUCUUAUCGGUCGAACCUCGAUGUCAAGGAUUCAGCUAAUCCCGUAUGUAGUUCCCUUUGUCUAUCGGUAUGUUACUUGCCCGAGAUUCGAUCGUCGGUAUCUCCAUACCUAGUUCAAUCUUGUUACCGGCAAGUCUCUUUACUCGUUCCAUAAUAAAAUAUCUCGUGGCUAACUCAUUAUUCACAUUGCUUGCAAGCUCAUUGUGAUACUGUAUUACCGAGUGGGCCCUGAGAUACCUCCUCGUCAUACGGAGUGACAAAUCCCAGUCUUGAUCCAUGCCAACUCAACAUACAUCCUCGGAUAUACCUGUAGAGCACCUUUGUAGUCACCCAGUUACGUUGCGACGUUUAGUAGACACAAGGUGCUCCUCUGGUGUCAGUGAGUUGCAUGAUCUCAUGGUCAUAGGAACAUAUACUUGACAUGCAGAAAACGAUAGCAAUAAACUAGACACGAUCAUAUGCUAUGUUCAUAUAUAGUUUGGAUCUUGUCCAUCAUAUCAUUCUCCUAAUGAUGUGAUCCCGUCAUCAAAUGACAACUCAUGUCUAUGACUAGGAAACAAUAGCCAUCUUUGAUCAACGAGCUAGUCCGGUAGAGGCUCACUGGGGACAUGUUGUUGUCUAUGACCCACUCAUGUAUUUGAGUUUCUAAUCAAUACAAUUACUACAUGGAUAAUAAAUGAUUAUCAUGAACAAGGAAAUAUAAUAAUAACCACUUUAUUAUUGCCUCUAGGGCAUAUUUCCAACAUCACCAUACCUAGUUCAAUCUCGUUACCGGCAAGUCUCUUCACUCGUUUCGUAAAACAAGAUCCCGUGGCUAACCCAUUAGUCACAAUGCUUGCAAGCUCAUUGUGAUGAUGUAUUACCGAGAGGGCCCAGAGAUAUAUCUCCGUCAUACGGAGUGACAAAUCCCAGUCUUGAUCCAUGCCACCCUCAAAGAUACCUAUAGAGCACCUUUAUAGUCACCCAGUUACGUUGCGACAUUUGGUACACACAAGGUAUUCCUCCGGUAUCAGUGAGUUGCAUGAUCUCAUGGUCAUAGGAACAUAUACUUGACAUGCAGAAAACGAUAGCAAUAAACUUGAUAUGAUCAUAUGCUACAUUCAUAGUUUGGGUCUUGUCCAUCACAUCAUUCUCCCAAUGAUGUGAUCCCAUUAUCAAAUGACAACUCAUGUCUAUGGCUAGGAAACCACAGUGAUACGUCUUCAACGUAUCUAAUUUUUCUCAUGCUUUUUCUCUUGUUUUGGACUCUAAUUUGCAUUAUAUGAAUGAAACUAACCCCAUACUGAUGUUGCUUUCAGCAGAACUACCAUGGUGUUGUUUUUGUGCAGAAAUAAAAGUUCUCGGAACGGAACGAAACUUUGCGAGGAUUUUUUUAUCAAUAAUAAGAAUUUCUGGAGCCAAGACCUGCCGGAGAGGGGCACCUGGGUGGGCACAACCCACCAGGGCGCGUCCCCCCUCUCCUGGCGCGCCUAGGUGGGUUGUACCCACCUGGUGGCUCCGCUGACGACCCCCCUAAUACUAUAAAAUCACAUAUUUCCAGAAAAAAAUAGGGGAGAAAGAAUUAUCGCGAUCCACGAGACGGAGCCGCCGCCAAGCCCUGUUCUUCCUCGGGAGGGCAGAUCUGGAGUCCGUUUGGGGCUCCGGAGAGGGGGGUCUUCGUUCUUCGUCAUCACCAACCCUUCUCCAUCGCCAAUUCCAUGAUGCUCCCCACCCGGAGUGAGUAAUUCCUUCGUAGGCUCGCUGGUCGGUGAGAAGUUGGAUGAGAUUCAUCAUGUAAUCGAGUUAGUUUUGUUAGGGCCUGAUCCCUAGUAUACACUAUGUUCUUAGAUUGAUGUUGCUAUGACUUCGCUAUGCUUAAUGCUUUUCACUUUGGGCCCGGGUGCCAUGAACUCAGAUCUGAACCGUUUAUGAAUUCAUCAUUAUAUCCAUGUUUUAGAUCCGAUCUUGCAAGAUAUAGUCACCUACUACGGUUAUGAUCCGACAACCCCAGAGUGACAACAACCGGGGCCACUCUCGGUGAUGACCGUGGUUUGAGGAGUUCAUGUAUUCACUAUGUGUUAAUGCUUUGUUCCGGUUCUCUAUUAAAAGGAGGCCUUAAUAUCCCUUAGUUUCCAAUAUGGACCCCGCUGCCAUGGGAGGGUAGGACAAAAGAUGUCAUGCAGGUUCUUUUAAUAAAGCACGUAUGACUAUUUACAGAUACAUGCCUACAUUAUAUCGAUUAACUGGAGCUAGUGUCAUAUCGCCCUAGGUUACAACUGUCACAUGAUGAAUAUCAUCCAACAAGUCAUCGAUCCAAUGCCUAUGAAUUUAUCCUAUAUUUUUUGUGCUAAGUUACUACUGCUAUCAUCACUGUUACACUUGCUACAAAAUUAUUGCUAUCACUGUUAUUGUUACCGUUGCUACUGUCACUACUAUAAAAACUAUCAAACUACUUUGCUACUGAUCACUUUGCUACAGAUAAUUAAUCUCCAGGUGUGGUUGAAUUGACAACUCAGCUGCUAAGACCUUCAAAUAUUCUUUGGCUCCCCUUGUGUCGAAUCUAUAAAUUUGGGUUAAAUACUUUACCCUCGAAAACUGUUGCGAUCCCCUAUACUUGUGGGUUAUCAAUACCUUUUUCUGGCGCCGUUGCCGGGGAGCAUAGCUAUAUUUGUUGAGUCACUUGGGAUUAUUAUCAUAUUAUCACUAUGAAGAAUCUGGAGGAUCCAAAGACUAAGAUAUUUCCCUCAAGUACGAGGGGAGGUAAGAAACUACCAUCUAGUUCUGCUUUAGAUUCACCUUCUGUUAUGAGUAAACUUGCAACACCACCACAUGCUAUUAAUCCUGAUAUGUCGCAAGUUAUUGAUGAUGCUACUUCUACUAUGAAUGAUGCUUAUGAUGAUGCUAGUACCUUGCUUGAUAAUGAUGAUGUGCCACUUGGUGAUUUUCUUGGUAAACAAAUUGCUAGAGUAAUACAACAUGAUGUUGUUGAAUCUGAUGAUGAGCUUUAAACUGAAACUCCUGAAACACCUGCUAGAACUAGCCUUCCUAGAUAUGAAUUGCCUAAGGUACCGGAAGGUUAUGUUAUGAGUGAAGAAGCAACUAGAGAUAUUCUUGCUUGUAGAGAUAGAGAUGAUCUAGAGAAAUUAUUAUGCAAGUACAAACAAAAAUCUCUGAAUGUUAGAAUGAAAUAUGAUCCUAAGUUUGCUACUUCACCUAUCUUUAUUGAUGAUAAGGAUUAUGAAUUCUCUGUCGACCCAGAGUUAAUUACUCUGGUUGAAUCUGAUCCUUUCCACGGUUAUGAAACUGAAACUGUUGUGGCACAUCUUACUAAGUUGAAUGACAUAGCCACCCUUUUUACUCAUGAUGAGAAGACUCUCUAUUACUUUAUUCUCAAAUUAUUUCCUUUCUCAUUAAAGGAUGAACAAAAGCUUGGUACAAUACUCUUGCUCCUGGUUGUGUACGUAGUCCCCAGGAUAUGAUUUAUUACUUCUCUAAAAAAUAUUUUCCAGCUCAUAAGAAACAAGUUGCCUUACAGGAAAUAUUUAACUUUGUGCAAAUUAAAGAAGAGAGUCUCCCACAAGCUUGGGGGAGGCUUUGCCAGUUACUUAAUGCUUUGCCUGAUCAUCCUCUUAAGAAAAAUGAAAUACUUGAUAUCUUCUAUAAUGGACUAACCGAUGCUUCUAGGGACUUCCUAGAUAGUUGUGCUGGUUGUGUUUCCAGGGAACGAACUGUUGUACAAGCUGAGGAAUUAUUGAAUAACAUACUGAAAAAUUAUGAUGAUUGGACUAUUCCUGAACCACCGAAGAAGAGGGGUAUAUUAUAUCUCAAUCCUGAAGAUAUGCAAGAGGCAAAGAAAUCAAUGAAACCUCCUAUUGAAGAAAUACAUGGGCUUAAUACACCACCACUGCCUAAGGUGGUAGAGGUAAAUUAUCUUAUGAAGUUCAAUGAAAAUGAUAAUCCUCACAAUAUGCAUCCUAGUCAAUGCCUUUAUGAGUUUGAAAACUAUAUUAGAAAACAAGAUCACUUCAAUGCAAAUGUUAUGAAACAAUUGAAAUACAAUUCUGAUAUGAUUGAUCGCUUGAGUGACUUGUUAUUUAGAAUUUUAAAUGAUGUUAGAGGUGUUGGAAAACAUGCUUCUAUGGUUCAAACCCAGUUAGAACAAGUUGCUAAAUCUCAAAGAGAAUUACUUGAUGAAAUGUAUCAUAAUAUGCAUGACUUUGCUAUUAGAGUUGAAACUAGAGGUGGUAAAAUGACUCAGGAACCACUUUAUCCAGAGGGACACCCAAAAAGAAUAGAACAAGAUUCACAAAGAGUUAACACUGAUGCACCUAGUCCUUCUAAAAAGAAAAAAGAAAAAUGAUAGGACUUUGCACACUUCUAGUGAACCUGAAAUAGAGAAACCUCCAGAUAAUGAAAAUGAAACUUCUAUCUCUGAUGCUGAAACUCGGUCUGGUAAUGAACACUCACACAAUGAUAAAGAACCAGCUAAUGAUGUUGAGAUAGACCACAUGUUGAUCUUGAUAACCCACAACCUAAGAAUAAAAGGUAUGAUAAAAGAGACCUUGUUGCUAGAAAACACGAUAAGGAAAGAUAACCGUGGGUUCAAAAACCUAUGCCUUUUCCACCCAAGUCAACUAAAAAGAAAGAUGAUGAAGAAUUUGAACGCUUUGCCGAAAUGCCGAGGCCAGUCUUUUUGCGUACUCGCUUGACUGAUAUCUUGAAAAUGCCUCCUUAUGCAAAGUAUAUGAAAGACAUCAUCACAAAUAAGAGAAAAAUACCGGAAGCUGAAAUAUCCACUAUGCUUGCUAAUUAUACUAUCAAAGAUGGAGUACCUAAAAAACUUGGAGAUCCGGGAAUACCAACUAUACCUUGCUCUAUCAAAAAGAAUUAUGUGAAAACCGCUUUGUGUGAUUUAGGAGCUGGUGUUAGUGUUAUGCCUUUCUCUUUAUAUAAAAGACUUGACUUGAAAAAACUCACACCUACUGAAAUAUCUUUGCAAAUGGCUGACAAAUCAACUGCCAUACCUAUCGGUAUCUGUGAGGAUGUGCCCGUUGUUGUUGCUAAUGUUACUAUUUUGACUGACUUUGUUAUACUUGAGAUGCCCGAGGACGACAACAUGUCGAUUAUCCUUGGUAGACCUUUCUUGAAUACUGCAGGGGCUGUUAUUGAUUGCAAUAAAAGCAAGGUCACUUUUCAUAUCAAUGGUAAUGAGCAUACGGUGCACUUUCCGGAGAAACAGUUCCAAGUGAAUGGUAUUAAUGUUAUUGAAAAAUCUCCGACAAUCACUAUUGGAAGUUUUCAAAUACCUCUACCUACUGUCAAAAAGAAAUAUGAAAUGCUUAUUGUUGGGGAAAUGCAUAUCCCCAUUGAGGUAACUUAGUGAUUUACGAAAGUUCUUUGGUUUCAUGCUAAUCGAAAGUGGUUGUAAUAAGACCUGAUCAACCUUAUUAAUGAAUCAUUUUUGAGCGGUAUGAAGUUGAUGAAUUUAGUAAGCACUACCUUCUGUCCUUACCUUUUUGUUUUUUGUUUUUGUUAGUUAAAUAAAAUAAAAUGCCAUGUUUUGUUUGUUUUCUGAAUUUCCCGUGCAAUAAAAAAUGACCCAAAAAUAAAAGUUCUCAGAAUGCCCUGAAAAUUUUACACGAUUUGUUUUUUCAAUAUUUAAGAAUUUUUGGUGCAAAUAAUACCAGAGGAAGGUCCACCAGGUGAGCACAACCCACCUGGGCGCGCCAAGACCCCCAGGCGCGCCCUAGUGGGUUGUGGUCCCCACGUGGGCCCCCUCACUUAUCUCUUUAACCCACAUCAUCACUUACCUCCAGAAAAAAAUCCCCAUUGCUCUCUCUCCCGUGUUCUUGAGCUCAAACCCGCGGAUUUCGAUCUCUUUGCUCGAAGCUCCGUUUCCGAAACUGUUUUGGGGGAUUGUUGCUUGGUAUGCGACUCCACCGUUUGUCCAAUUAGUUUUUGUUUUUGUGGUUUAUACUUUGAAUAAUUAGCUACUCUUGGUGCUGCUGUAGAUGUGCUUGCAUGUUUAAUUCUUAGUGUUCUAAGUAGUUUGAAUGCUUGCUAUGGCCUCUAUGUACCCCUAUGAGUAGUUGCUAUCAAUUUUGUGAACUUUUGUUGAGAAAAUUUUGUGAACUAAAAAUUCAGAUUUUUGUUCAUAGGAAAAAUUGUACGCGGACAUGAUGAACCUAUUUGGAAGGAGUUCUUCGAGGAGACGAUCCUCGGGGGCAUCUCCUAGUGACAGUUCUGCUCGCCGGUCUUAUGUUGAACCAAGUGAAAGUUCCACGCGAGAUACCACCAACAAAACAUGCUUAUGGCCUUGCGAUGAAUAUAUGGUGCGUGUGGGCAUCAAGGAGGAAUUUGAACAAUAUGUUCACAAUGCCGGUCUCGGUCCCUACCUUUUAGAUAAGUGUGAACAACACCAACUCCUCACUGAAUCAUUUGUCAAGGGAUUUAAAUAUUUUCCACGUGAGUCUAGGGUGUCUUUUAUGCUUUAUGAUGAACCAUUUACUAUCCCACUAGAGAAUUUUGCUUACCAUUGCAAACUUCCAUUUUGGGGUUCGCUUGAUGAGCCACCAAAGGCUGAGUUCGAGUCUUUCUUGACUAGCCUUUGUUACGGUGAAAGUAGGGGAGUGAGACAAGGAAGAAUAAAGAGCAUUCACUUUCCCGCAAUUCAGUACUUUGCAUUAUUUAACGGGAAAUGCAUAGUAGGAAAGCAAGACUGUAGCAUACUUUGUGCGCCAGACUUGAGCCUCAUUCACACCGCUCUCACUGGUGAAAGGAAUUAUAACCUUGGAGCGAUUGUUGCACGUAGACUUCAGCAUAACGCCAAAAGUGGCUGGUUCUAUGGUGGAAUUUAUGCCACAUGUCUAGCAUGAGGGCUGGGUGUUUCACCUUUGCCCUUUGAUCCUAUCCUACCCACUCAAUAUUUAGAUUUUGAUGCCUUAAAAGAGCAUAAGAUUCUCAAGGGAAGGGCUGAUAACUUCACUUAUAAUUUGUUGUUUAACCAAUCACAUGUUAUGGACACAUAUUUGUCUGCGCCUGCUCUCUUUGAUUAUCACAGCAAGGGAAGAUAUUUUGUUCUUGAGAGCAAGGCUCUAGCUCACAACGCAGCAGUGCUGGUGGCGCGGCAUGCCGAGGCAUCUGCACCAAGAGCCUCUGUGAGCUACCACGCCGACUACUACCCUCCAGGCUACUGAUCGACUACCAACUUAGGCCAAAAGCCUAAGCUUGGGGGAGUAUGUGUUUCUCACCGACAUUAUAUCCAUGUCUACAUAUCAUUUUAUUUGUCGGUGUCCACACUUUUUCAUUGUAUCAUCCAUGCUUAGUUUUAUUUUCUUGCUUUCUUCUUGUGUGCUUGAAAAACUUAAAAAAACAAAAAAUUAGUUGUAGUAAUUUACUUUCUGUGCAUGCUAGUAGUAGUAUUAAAAAGAAAAUCCAAAAAGAUUUCCUUGUUCUUCUUUUGCUUGUUGGGAGCUUUCCCGUGUAAAUAGUUUUUCUCAUUUUUGCUUUUUAUUUUGCUUGUUGAAGAAAACCAAAAACUCCAACAAUAUUUCAGUGUGUUUCUCUGAAUUUCUUUUCUUUUUAUUCGAGUCUUACCGAGGAGAAGACCAUGAUGAAAAUAUUGAGUGGCUCUCACAUGAAUAACUAUUGAACUAAUAAAGAGCCCAUUUUACCUUGUCUUCUCCUGUUGAAUAAAAUGUUUGCAUAUUCCAGCUUAGUCCACAACACUCUUGCACUAUUAUUGUUUUCAUAUCAUUCGGUCGUGCAAGUGAAAGGCAAUAAUGACGAUAUUCGAUGAACUGGCCGUGGCAAAGAGAAACUGGUAUGAACUCGACUUGUUCUGUUUGUGUAAAUAUGUUUAACCUAGUAUCCAGGCUUCAGCCCAUUAUGAUUAAACAUGUUUGCAAUGACAAUUAGAGAUUAGAGUUUCUCAUGCCAUGGAUAAGUAGCUGGGAGUUAAUAUGAUUUAUCUUGAAUAUCAACAUAGCGUUAAAAUGAUUGUGAUGUAGUAUGAUGAUAUGGUAUCCUCCUCUGAAUGUUCGAGUGGCUUGACUUGGUACAUGUUCAUGCAUGUAGUUGGAUCAAAACCAACAUAGCCUCUAUAAUAUUUAUGUUCAUGGUGUUCAUAUCCUACUCAUGCUAGUGUCCAAUGUUACUUAUGCAUAAUGCAUGGUUAUGAUCGUUGUUGCUCUCUAGCUGGUCGCUCAAUCUAAAUUGCUAGCCUUCGCCUGUACUAAGUGGGAAUUCUGCUUGUACAUCAAAAACCUUGAACCCAAAGUUAUUCCAGAUGACUCCACCAUACCUACCUAUAUACGGUAUUACCCUGCCGUCCUAAGUAAAUUUGCAUGUGCCACGUCUAAAAAUUUCUAAAAAAUUAUCCUUUUUGUGUGCCUGGAUCGUUUAUGGAACGACAGGAGGUGGUCGAUAUCUUCCGUGCUAAGCGGGUUAUUCUCGGGACGAGUGUUUAUUCACUCGCCAUCGCAUGAGAAAAUGGGCGGUAAUAGGGAUGCCCAGUCCCAAAUUGCAAACAUGAAAAAGAGCUCAUCUCUGAAAUAAUCAAACAAAAACUCCCAACAGAGUCAAAACCUUUACUUUUAUCGCUUGGGAACAGCCACUAGCGUGCUUAGCAUGGAAGAUGUUGAUAAUUGAUGGUCGUGAAGUGAAUGAGAAGGGUGCAUGUCUCAAAAUAUCAUUUAUCUCUGUUUUAAAAAUUGAGCUCUGGCACCUCUGCAAAUCACUGCUUCCCUCUGCGAAGGGACUUUCUAUUUACUUUUAUGUUGUGUCACCACCUUCUAAAAGAAGCGCCAGAAACUGACUAGAGCACAGUUGUCAUGAUUUAUGCAUUGUGUGUAGCUAAUGUUGGGUGCAUCAUGACUGGAUCUUUUCUACCAUGAAUUACAAUGUUUAGUCGCUGCUUGAACAUUGGAGGUGCUCUGCAUUUAUGUUUUGCGGUCUCAGAAAGGGCUAGCGAGAUACCACUAUUGUCAUAUUAUAUCAUGGUUUUUUUGACAACGUGUUGCUGUUUGAGAUAUCUUAUUAUUGCUCGCUAGCUGAUUAUGUCAUUGAUAUGAAUCAUUAUAAUCUUUAAGAGUUAUUGUCGACAUGGUUAGUUAUAAUGUUGGCUGAAAACCUGGGUGUUGUUUAAGCUUAUUUACGCAAACAAGAGCAAAAGAGUUCGUAAAAGUUUUUCUUUCUCACUUUCAGUUUAUCAACUGAAUUGCUUGAGGACAAGCAAAGGUUUAAGCUUGGGGGAGUUGAUACGUCUCCAAUGUAUCUACUUUUUCUCACGCUUUUCCUCUUGUUUUGGACUCUAAUUUGCAUGAUAUGAAUGGAACUAACUCCGGACUGACGCUGUUUUCAGCAGAACUACCAUGGUGUUGUUUUUGUGCAAAAAUAAAAGUUCUCAAAAUGGAACGAAACUUUGUGAGGAUUUUUUAUAUCAAUAAUAAGAAUUUCUGGAGCCAAGACCUGCCGGAGAGGGGCACCUGGGUGGGCACAACCCACCAGGGCGCGCCCCCCUCUCCUGGCGCGCCUAGGUGGGUUGUACCCACCUGGUGGCCCCGCUGACGACCCCCCUAAUACUAUAAAUCACAUAUUUCCAGAAAAAAAACAGGGAGAAAGAAUUAUCGCGAUCCACGAGAUGGAGCCGCCGCCAAACCCUGUUCUUCCUCGGGAGGGUAGAUCUGGAGUCCGUUUGGGGCUCCGGAGAGGGGGGUCCUCGUUCUUCGUCAUCACCAACCCUUCUCCAUCGCCAAUUCCAUGAUGCUCCCCACCGGGAGUGAGUAAUUCCUUCGUAGGCUCGCUGGUCGGUGAGGAGUUGGAUGAGAUUCAUCAUGUAAUCGAGUUAGUUUUGUUAGGUCCCGAUCCCUAGUAUCCACUAUGUUCUUAGAUUGAUGUUGCUAUGACUUUGCUAUGCUUAAUGCUUAUCACUUUGGGCCCGGGUGCCAUGAACUCAGAUCUGAACCGUUUAUGAAUUCAUCAUUAUAUCCAUGUUUUAGAUCCGAUCUUGCAAGAUAUAGUGACCUACUACGGUUAUGAUCCGACAAUCCUGGAGUGACAACAACCGGGCCCACUCUCGGUGAUGACCGUGGUUUGAGGAGUUCAUGUAUUCACUAUGUGUUAAUGCUUUGUUCCGGUUCUCUAUUAAAAGGAGGCCUUAAUAUCCCUUAGUUUCCAAUAUGGACCCCGCUACCACGGGAGGGUAGGACAAAAGAUGUCAUGCAAGUUCUUUUAAUAAAGCACGUAUGAUUAUUUACGGAAUACAUGCCUACAUUAUAUCGAUGAACUAGAGCUAGUGCCGUAUCGCCCUAGGUUAUAACUGUCACAUGAUGAAUAUCAUCCAACAGGUCACCGAUCCAAUGCCUAUGAAUUUAUCCUAUAUUGUUUCUGCUAAGUUACUACUGCUAUCAUCACUAUUACACUUGCUACAAAAUUAUUGCUAUCACUGUUACUGUUACCGUUGCUACUGUCACUACUACCAAAACUAUCAAACUACUUUGCUACUGAUCACUUUGCUGCACAUAAUUAAUCUCCAGGUGUGGUUGAAUUGACAACUCAGCUGCUAAUACCUUCAAAUAUUCUUUGGCUCCCCUUGUGUCGAAUCUAUAAAUUUGGGUUAAAUACUUUACCCUCGAAAACUGUUGCGAUCCCCUAUACUUGUGGGUUAUCACACAGCCAUCUUUGAUCAACGAGCUAGUCCUGUAGAGGCUCACUAGGGACAUGUUGUUGUCUAUGUAUCCGCACAUGUAUUUGAGUUUCCGGUCAAUACAAUUAGAGCAUGGAUAAUAAACGAUUAUCAUGAACAAGGAAAUAUAAUAAUAUCCACUUUAUUAUUGCCUCUAGGGCAUAUUUCCAACAAUCUUGAUCUCCAAGAGGAGGGGAAGAUGAGAAAAGCUCUCUCAAUGUCUAUCCAAUACUUUGCUAACCCCAAAGACGAGCUAGAAGAUUACUUAUAGGGUAGGGACGUAUUGGGGGUAAAACAAGGGUACAUGGGUAAAUUAGCCCUAAAUGCGUGUAGGCACGGUGGAGGGUCUGGGCUCCCAGGAUAAAGGGGUUCGGGCACCCGGGGGUCGCUGGGAGACGGAGGGCCGGGCACCCGGGUGCGCCAGGAGAGGGGGCCCAAGCACCUAGUGGUGUGAGGCUCGGGCACCCGGGGCGUCUCGGGGGUUGCGCCUUUGGCGGCUGUAGGGGGACGGGCACCUGGGGGCUGAGGGCCCGGGCACCCAGGGUGGGCUUAGGGCCUCGCCCAGGCAGCAGCCGAGCACCCGGGGGCCAAAGAGGUCGGGCACCCUGGGUGGCAAGGGAGGCGCCCAAUCGGUGGAUGGGGAGCCGAGCACCCGGGGCUGCAGGUGGCCGGGCACCCGGAGUGGUCUGGGACCUCCGUUGCUUCGUGCUUCUCAUGUCUUGCAUUCUCCUCCUUCUCCAUGGUCGUUUGCAUAUCUACCCUAGCUUCUUCAUGAUCAUCUCCUUGGUACCUAAGAAUGCAUAACAUUUCCAUUUGAGGUAGGACCCAACUCUCAUGUGAAUUCAAAUGGAGUUCAAAGAGGAAAGAGUUAACCUCGGUUUCGGUGGCACGUGCGCGAGCUCUCGUCAUUGGUCCUCUUCGUGGUGCUUGAUGAGUUUUAAUGGAAUCCAUGGGGAUGAUGGAGGGAUGCUCUGCAUCAUCUCCCCACCCUUGGGAGAGAUCUGUCAGCGGAUCGUGAUCUUCAUCACCAUGGUAUUUGGCCAAGUCCUUGACAUUGAAGAUGUCGCUAACAUUGUACUUGUCGCGUGGGAUGUCUAUCUUGUAGGACUUGUCAUUGUAGCGUGCUAGCACCUUGAAGGGUCCAUCGGCUCGUGGUAGUAGUUUGGACUUGCGUUCGUUGGGGAAGUGGUCCUUGCGAAGAUGGAGCCAUACGAGAUCUCCCGGUUGGAACACCAUUGGUGUCUUGUUGAUGUUGAGCUUGGUGGGGAGGCGGUGUACUUGACGCUCGAUCGUGGACCUUGUUUCUUCAUGCAUCUUCUUGAGGUAAGUGGCACUUGCGCUAGCGUCCAGGUUUGCUCGUUCUUCGAGCGGUAGAGGAAGGAUGUCCAAGGGCGACAAAGGGUUGAAGUCGUAGACAACCUCGAAGGGGGACUUGCUGGUAGUAGAGUGUCUUGCACGGUUGUAAGCGUACUCGGUGAUGGGUAAGCACUCCUCCCAAACCUUGAUGUUCUUCUUGAUCAACACGCGUAGGAGAGUGGAGAGCGUCCAGUUAGUGACUUCCGUUUGGCCAUCGGUUUGAGGAUGAUGUUGGGGAACACAGUAUUUCAAAAAAUUUAUCUACGAUCACGCAAGAUCUAUCUUGGAGAUGCAUAGCAACAAGAGGGGAGAGUGUGUCCACAUACCCUCGUAGACCGAAAGCGGAAGCGUUUAGUAACGCAGUUGAUGUAGUCGAACGUCUUCGCGAUCCAACCGAUCCAAGCACCGAACGUACGGCACCUCCGCGUUCAGCACACGUUCAGCUCGAUGACGUCCCUCGAACUCUUGAUCCAGUUGAGGACAAGGGAGAGUUCCGUCAGCACGACGGCAUGGCGACGGUGAUGAUGAAGUUACCGGCGCAGGGCUUCGCCAAAGCACUGCAACGAUAUGACCGAGGUGUGUAACGGUGGAGGGGGGCACCGCACGCGGCUAAGAGAAGACUUCGUGUGUUCUAGUGGUGCCCCCCCCACACAUAUAUAUAUAGGUGGGAGGGUGAGGGAGCAGCAGGAGGCGCGCCCCAAGUAGGAAGAUUCCUACUUGGGGCAUAAUCCUGUCCGGCCUCCCCCUUUCCAUGUUUUCCGGAGGGAGAAGGAAAGAGGAGGGGGGAGAGAAGGAAAGGGGAGGCCGAAUUGCCCCCCUUCCUUUCUCUACUCUCCCUUUCCUCCCCCCUAUUUGGCCAUGUAUGGGGUGCACCAGCCCACUAGGGCUGGUCUGUCCCGCCCUAGGCCCAAUAAGGCUCAUAUCUUGGCCGGGGGUGCCCGGAACCCCUUUUCGGUGACCUGAUACGUGCCCGGUAGCCCCGGAACACUUCCGGUCUCCAAAUACUAACCUCUUAUAUAUGAAUCUUUACCUCUCGACCAUUUCGAGACUCCUCGUCAUGUCCAUGAUCUCAUCCAGGACUCCGAACAAUAUUCGGUCAUCAAAUCACAUAACUCAUACAAUAUAAUAUCAUCAUCGAACGUUAAGCGUGCGGACCCUACGGGUUCGAGAACUAUGUAGACAUGACCGAGACACCUCUCCGGUCAAUAACCAAUAGCAGAACCUGGAUGCUCAUAUUGGCUCCCACAUAUUCUACGAAGAUCUUUAUCGGUCAAACCGCAUAACAACAUACGUCAUUCCCUUUCUCAUCGGUGUGUUACUUGCCCGAGAUUCGAUCGUCGGUAUCAUCAUACCUAGUUUAAUCUCGUUACCGGCAAGUCUCUUUACUUGUUCCAUAAUGCAUCAUCCCGCAACUAACUCAUUAGUCACAUUGCUUGCAAGGCUUAUAGUGAUGUGUUUUACCGAGAGGGCCCAGAGAUACCUCUCCGAUACACGGAGUGACAAAUCCUAAUCUCAAUCUAAAUUUAUAAUCACCCAGUUACGUUGUGACGUUUGAUAGCACACAAGGUGUUCCUCCGGUAUUCGGGAGUUGCAUAAUCUCAUAUUUAGAGGAACAUGUAUAAGUCAUGAAGAAAGCAGUAGCAAUAAAACUCAACGAUCAUUAUGCUAAGCUAACGGAUGGGUCUUGUCCAUCAUAUCAUUCUCUAAUGAUGUGAUCCCGUUCAUCAAAUGACAACACAUGUCUAUGGUUAGGGAACUUAACCAUCUUUGAUUAACGAGCUAGUCAAGUAGAGGCAUACUAGGGAUACUCUGCUUUGUCUAUGUAUUCACACAUGUACUAAGUUUCCGGUUAAUACAAUUCUAGCAUGAAUAAUAAACAUUUAUCAUGAUAUAAGGAAAUAUAAAUAACAACUUUACUAUUGCCUCUAGGGCAUAUUUCCUUCAGUCUCCCACUUGCACUAGAGUCAAUAAUCUAGUUCACAUCAUCAUGUGAUUUAACACCAAUAGUUCACAUCUUUAUGUGAUUAGUUCACAUCUUCAUCUGACUAAUACCCAAAGGGUUUAUUAGAGUCAAUAAUCUAGUUCACAUCGCUAUGUGAUUAACACCCAAAGAGUGAUCAUGUUUUGCUUGUGAGAGAACUUUAGUCAACGGGUCUACCACAUUCAGAGCCAUAUGUAUUUUGCAAAUUUUCUAUGUCUACAAUGCUCGGCAAGGAGCUACUCUAGCUAAUCGCUCCCAUUUUCAAUAUGUAUCCAGAUUGAGACUUAGAGUCAUCCGGAUCAGUGUCAAAGCUUGCAUCGACAUAACCCUUUAUGACGAACUUUUUGUCACUUCCAUAACCAAGAAACAUGUCAUUAUUCCACUAAGGAUAACUUUGACCGCUGUCUAGUGAUCCACUCCUGGAUUACUAUUGUAUCCUCUUGCCAAACUCAUGGUGAGGUACACAAUAGGUCUGGUACACAGCAUAGCAUACUUUAUAGAAUGUAUGACUGAGGCAUAGGGAAUGACUUUUCAUACUCUUUCUAUUUUCUGCCGUGGUCGGGUUUUGAGUCUUUACUCAACUUCACACCUUACAACUCAGGCAAGAACUCCUUCUUUGACUGAUCCAUUUUGAACUUCAAAAUCUUAUCAAGGUAUGUACUCACUGAAAGUCUUAUCAAGCGUCUUGAUCUAUCUUUAUAGAUCUUGAUGCCCAAUAUGUAAGUAGCUUCACUAAGGUCUUUCAUUGAAAAAUUCUUAUUCAAGUAUCCUUUUAUGCUAUCCAGAAAUUCUGUAUUAUUUCCAAUCAACAAUAUGUCAUUCACAUAUAAUAUCAGAAAUGCUACAGAGCUCCCACUCACUUUCUUGAAAAUACAGGCUUCUCCAAAAGUCUGUAUAAAACCAUAUGCUUUGAUCACACUAUCAAAGCAUACAUUCCAACUCCGAGAUGCUUGCACCAGUCCAUCAAUGGAUCACUGGAGCUUACAGACUUUGUUAGCACCUUUUGGAUUGACAAAACCUUAUGGUUGCAUCAUAUAUAACUCUUCUUUAAGAAAUCCAUUAAGGAAUGCAGUUUUGACAUCCAUUUGCCAAAUUUCAUAAAAUGCGGCAACUGCUAACAUGAUUCGGACAGACUUUAAGCAUAGUACGAGUGAGAAACUCUCAUCGUAGUCAACACCUUGAACUUGUCGAAAACCUUUUGCGAUAAUUCGAGCUUUUGUAGAUAGUAACACUACUAUCAGCGUCCGUCUUCCUCUUGAAGAUCCAUUUAAUCUCAAUGGCUUGCCGAUCAUCGGGCAAGUCAAUCAAAGUCCAUACUUUGUUCUCAUACAUGGAUCCCAUCUCAGAUUUCAUGGCCUUAAGCCAUUUCGUGGAAUCUAGGAUCAUCAUCGCUUCCUCGUAGUUUGUAGGUUCGUCAUGGUCAAGCAACAUGACUUCCAGAACAGGAUUUCUGUACCACUCUGGUGCGGAACAUACUCUGGUUGACCUACGAGGUUCUGUAGUAACUUGAUUUGAAGUUUCAUGAUCAUCAUCAUUAACUUCCUCACUAAUUGGUGUAGGAAUCACUAGAACUGAUUUCUGUGAUGAACUACUUUCCAAUUCGGGAGAAGGUACAAUUUCCUCCCACUCACUUCUUUCGAGAGAAACUCCUUCUCUAAAAAGGAUCCAUUCUUAGCAACGAAUAUCUUGCCUUCGGAUCUGUGACAGAAGGUGUACCCAAUAGUAUCCUUUGGGUAUCCUAUGAAGACGCAUUUCUCCGAUUUGGGUUCGAGCUUAUCAGAUUGAAGCUUUUUCACAUAAGCAUCGCAGUCCCAAACUUUAAGAAACGACAGCUUAGGUUUAUUGCCAAACCAUAGUUCAUACGGUGUCAUCUCGACGGAUUUAGAUGGUGCCCUACUUAACGUGAAUGCAGCUAUCUCUAAUGCAUAACCCCAAAAUGAUAGUGGUAAAUCGGUAAGAGACAUCAUAGAUAGCACCAUAUCUAAUAAAGUGUGGUCACGACAUUCGGACACACCAUUACGCUGUGGUGUUCCAGGUGGCACGAGUUGUGAAACUAUUCCACAUUGUUUUAAAUGAAGGCCAAACUCGUAACUCAAAUAUUCGCCUCCGCGAUCAGAUCAUAGAAACUUUAUUUUCUUGUUACGAUGAUUCUCAACUUCACUCUGAAAUUCUUUGAACUUUUCAAAUGUUUCAAAGUUGUGUUUCAUUAAGUAGAUAUACCCAUAUCUGCUUAAAUCAUCUGUGAAGGUCAGAAAAUAACGAUACCCGCCGCAAGCCUCAAUACUCAUUGGUCCGCAUACAUCAGCAUGUAAUAUUUCCAAUAAGUCAAUUGCUCGCUCCAUUGUUCCGGAGAACGGAGUUUUAGUCAUCUUGCCCAUGAGGCAUGGUUCACAAGCAUCAAGUGAUUCCAAAAGCCCAUCAGCAUGAAGUUUCUUCAUGCGCUUUACACCAAUAUGACCAAAACGGUAGUGCCACAAAUAAUUUGCACUAUCAUUAUUAACUUUGCAUCUUUUGGCUUCAAUAUUAUGAAUAUCUGUAUCACUACGAUCGAGAUUCAAUAAACCAUUCACCUUGGGUGUAUGACCACAGAAGGUUUUAUUCAUGUAAACAGAAUAACAAUUAUUCUUUAAAUGAAUAACCGUAUUGCAGUAAACAUGAUCCAAUCAUAUUAUGAUCAACGCAAACACCAAAUAACAUUUAUUUUAGGUUCAACACUAAUCCCGAAGGUAAAGGGAGUGUGCGAUGGUGAUCUUAUCAACCUUGGAAUCACUUCCAACACACAUCGUGAUGUAGGGUGGAACCCUAGAUGGCUGAUCUUUCACGAAAGGAGCGGAUCCCAAUGAGGAACACAAAGAACACGAGGGGAAACACGAGGGAAAACACGAGAGAAUCACUCAAACCAACAAGAUUCGGCCACACAUAUGCUAGAUCCUCGAAACACAAAGAGAUACACGAUCCACGAUCAACAAGGGACGAUACAUAGGGUAACCGGUUCUUUUCUGUGAGGAGGUUUUGAUGGGGCCACCCGAAAGGGGGUCUUGAAUCCAACGUGGAUCUUCUCCGAAGAGGGGCCGCGGUCUCUCUCGAGGAGUAGACCCGUAUGGAUGAGCGAGGCUCUAUCUCACAAAUGAGCUAUCACAACGCUGACCCUAGAAAGAGGGAGGUGGAGGAGUAUAUAUAGUCUAGGUGGGCGAAGGGGUACAUGGGCGUCGGGCCCUUACACUGUGCGCAGACAGAGGAGGCCGGAUGUCCGGGCAUCGGGCCGGAUGUCCGGGCCUUCGCGAGGUGCCGGAUGUCCGGGCUAGCACCGGAUGUCCGGGCGGUCGGAGCUGGCCUUGACGCUCUCUAGAUAGACGGGGUCCGGAUGUCCGGGCGAUGGGCCGGAUGUCCGGAGGCUCGUGACGGGCCAGAUGUCCGGGCUGAGGAUCCGGAUGUCCGGGCUGGCGGGGUCGGCCUCGGUGCUCUCUGGAUAGAGGGUGCCGGAUUUCCGGGCUUCAGGCCGGAUGUCCGGGGCCUGUAGGUGCUUGGCGGCUGGGCGGCUGCUGUGGACGAUGUUCCAGGCCGGAUGUCAGGGGUCGUGGCCAGAUGUCCGGGGCCUGGAAGCUGUUCUUGACUCCUUCCGUUGGUUCUCUUCGUCCAUGAACUUGUGGACUUGUCCGUCUUCACGUGCAUCUUCGGGAGGGUCCUCUUGAUACCUAAUCAUGCACAGCAUCUCGGACUUAGGUACUAGCAAUGUCUCGAGUGGAUCAUAUGUGAUAUCACUAAGGAAGGAAGUCACCUCGGUCUCGAGAGCUCUAACUUGUGCUCGUGUCAUAGGUCAUGUUGGCACUCGGUGAGACGAUGGUAGGUCCAUGGGGAUGACCAUAGAAUGCUCCGCAUCAUCUCCCCUCCCUUGGGAAAGAUCCGACCUCAGAUCGAAAUCUUCAUCACCAUGGUAGGGAUAUAGAUCGUUGAUGUUGAAGAUGUCGCUCAUGAAGUACUUGUCGCGUGGGAUGUCGAUCUUGUAGGCGUUAUUGUUGUAGCGUGCAAGCACCUUGAAGGGUUCAUCGGCUCGAGGUAGAAGUUUGGACUUGCAUUCAUUGGGGAAGCGGUCCUUGCAGAGUUGUAGCCACACAAGAUCUCCAAUGUUGAAUAUCAUGGGUUGCUUGUUGACGUUGAGCUUGGUCGCGAGUCGUUGUACUUGGCGCUCGAUGGUGUGCCUUGUAUCUUCAUGCAUCUUCUUGAGGUAGUUGACUCGGGCACUCGCGUCCAUGUUGGUGCGGUCUUGUAGCGGUAGAGGAAGAAUGUCCAAUGGGGACAACGGGUUGAAACCGUAGACGACCUCGAAGGGGGGACUUGCCGGUAGUCGAAUGUCUUGCAUGGUUGUAGGCGUACUCGGCGAUUGGUAGGCACUCUUCCCACUCCUUUAUGUUCUUCUUUAUCAACACACAUAGUAGAGUGGAGAGUGUGCGGUUCGUCACCUCCGUUUGGCCGUCGGUUUGAGGAUGGUAUGCCGAAGAGAACAAGAGCUUGAUUCCGAGCUUGGCGCAUAAUGUCUUCCAAAAGAAACUCAAGAACUUGACGUCGCGGUCCGAGACAAUCGUCUUUGGCACUCCAUGUAAUCGUAAGAUUUCCCUACAAAAAAUAUUUGCAACAUGUGAAGCAUCGUCUAUCUUGUUGCAUGGUAUGAAAUGUGCCAUUUUGGAGAAUCGGUCCACAACAACAAAGACGGAAUCCUUUCCAUUUCUAGUUCUAGGCAAACCAAUCACAAAAUCCAUGCUAAUAUCUUCCCAUGGUUGGUAUGGAAUUGGGAGAGGCAUGUAAAGGCCAUGAGAUUGAGCUUUGGACUUAGCUUUGCGACAUGUCAAACAUCGGUUGGUGAAGCGUGAGACGUCACGGAACAUCUUGCGACAUGCCAAGUUUUAAUAGCAUUGAUCUUAGAUUCAUCAACAUGAACACCCUUAGAAGAUACUACAAAACCCAAGAAAACAAGCUUAUCAACGCCAAAAAGACAUUUGUCCAUGUUAGCAUAGAAACACUCUUUUCGAAGAGUUUGUAACACGGUUCGAAGGUGGGUGACAUGAUCUUUGAGAGAUUUUCUAAAAACAAGGAUAUCGUUGAAGUAGACCACAACAAACUCACCAAUGUAAGGGCGAAACACAUAAUGCAUAAGACGCAUGAAAGUACCUGGUGCUUCCGAUAAACCCAUAGGCAUAACUAACCACUCAUACAAACCAAACUUUGUUUUGAAACCGGUUUUCCAUUCAUCACCCUCUUGUAUGCGUAUUUGAUAGUAACCACUUUUGAGAUCAAUUCUGGAGAAAAUAGUGGCACUGCUAAGUUCAUCUAGCAUAUAAUCAAGGCGUGGAAUGGGGUGCCUAUAGCGAACGGUGAUAGCAUUGAUAGGUCUACAAUCGAAACACAUGCGAAAGCUACCGUCUCUUUUUGGCACAAGAAUGACCGGUACGGCACAAGGACUCAAACUUUCACGCACAUGUCCAUGGUCUAUGAGAUGUUUUACUUGCCUUUGUAUUUCUUUGGUUUCUUUGGGGUUGACGCGAUAUGGAGCCUUGUUCGGAAGUGGUGCUCCAGGGAUGAGGUCGAUGCGGUGCUCGAUGCCUCGUAGUGGAGGUAGACCUGGAGGUAGCUCGUCGGUGAAAACAUCUUGGAAUUCCUGCAAUAGAGAAGAUAACACCAAAGGUAGAUUGUGAGAGGUGUUAGUUUUUGGUGCCUCGUCCUUGCACAAAAGGACAUAGUGCAUGACACUUGAUGGGUUCUCACACACUUCUCUCAUCUCACGUUUGGUGGCCAAUAUGACUAAGUUCUUUUUGUCGCUCAUCGUGGAGACACUCAAUUUUGGCUUGUGGCGCUCACUCUCUUUUUGGUGGUUUGCUCUCUCACUAUUCUCUCCAUGAUGGGUGGCUUGCUUGUCGGUGAUCACUUGGCUUGGAGACAUAGGUCGUAGCACAUACUCCUUUCCUUUCAUCUUGAAGCUAUAGUGAUUUGUAUGCCCGUUAUGGAUGACGCCUCGGUCAAAUUGCCAUGGCCGCCCAAGAAGGAGGUGGCAAAUGGUCAUCGGUACGACAUCACACUCCAAAGUGUCUUCGUAAGCUCCGAUCUUGAAGGAGACUUGUACCCUAUGCUCGACUUGGAGAGUGCUGUUGUCGGUUAGCCAUUGAACUUUCUAGGGGUGCGGUGCUUCAUCUUGACCAAUUGGAGCUUGGAGCAAAGUUCUUCGCUUGCCAAGUUAUGACAACUCCCUCCAUCGAUGAUGACCUUGACGGACCUUCCAUUGAUGCUGGCCUUGGUGUGGAAGAUAUGGCAUCGUUGGUCUUCUUCUUGUUGAUGUUGAAGAGUCAAGACCUUGGAGACUACGAGAGCGGGGCUCGAAUCUUCGUCACAAAAGACUUGAUCAUCUUCAUCGUCAUUCACUUGCCGGUGCAUGGCCACUUGCUCAAGGGCUUCCAUUUCUCCUUCACUCAUGGAGUCAUAUGUUCCGUCGUUGUUGAGGAUCAUGGUGCGCUUGUUUGUACACUCAAAGGACUUGUGGCCUCGGCCGCUGCAUGUGAAGCAUUUGAAGGAACUUUUCUUGAUGUUUCAUCGGUUGGGGUAGAUGAUGAAGAAGCUCUCGGCUUGAAGUUGCUUGUAGUAGGAGGACGACUUGAGGUUGUCGAAGUUUUCUUGUAACUUGACUUGUCGCCGUUGCUUGUAGAUGGCUUGGUUGAGGUAGAAGGUGUUGGAGUCGUUGAAGCUUAAUUGUUGGAGAAGCCAUAGGACUUGGAUGAGAACUUGGCGUACUUGAAGUCAUCUUGCACGUUCCUCUUUGGUAGCUUGAUGCACUAGCUCGAUGAGGUUCGAGUAUGAUUGGAAGUCGGCGAUCUUCUUGAUAGGAUGAUUGAGUCCAUUCAAGAAACGUGCAAUAGUUUGCUCAUCAUCUUCCGUGACAUUGGCUUAUAUCAUUGCAAUCUCCAUUUCCUUGUAGUAUUCUUCAACGCUCUUGGUUCCUUGCUUUAGGAGUUGGAGUUUCUUGAAGAGGUCGCGGUUGUAGUAGGUUGGCACGAAACAUGCUCUCAUGACAUCCUUCAUUUGCGCCCAAGUUGUGAUGGGUGGUUCACCUUUUGCCGCUCGGCGCUCAAUGACUUGUUCCCACCAAAUAAGGACGUAGUCUUGGAACUCAAGGGAUGCCAUUGCGAUCUUCUUCUCUUCUUCAUAGUUGUGCAAGCGGAAGAUUUUGUCAACCUUCAAUGCGCAUGACAGGUACUCUUCGGGAUCAUUGCUUCCGGAAAACUUGGGCAUGGUGAACUUUAGCUUGCCGUAGCGUUGCUCUUCAUUGUGUUGGGGUCGGGGGUGAUGACGUCCUUGAUGAGGAGGAUUGUCUCCCUCAACUUGCUCUUGUCUUGGAGGAUCUCCAUUGUCUUCGUGCUCUUGGUGAACUUAAAGUUCUUGUCUAGCUUGUGGAGGAGCUUGUCGAGCUUGACAAUGUACACGAGUUUGAUAUAUUCGUUCUUGGACUUCAUCACGAAGCGCUUCUUGUUGCUCACGAGCUUGUCGGUUGCGCGUGGCUACGGCUUGACUUGAAUCUCGGAGGGCAUGUUGCACCUCAAGUGCUUGAGCUUCGCGUAGUUGUUGUUCUUCAUGUUGUGCCUCGACAUCUUGUGCAUCUUGGUGUUCACGCGCUCGGUCUUCCUCUUGUUGUUGGCGUAGACGUUGCUGUUUCUUGUGCUUGUGCAAAAGUAGCUUGGUUUUGACGGUGUCAAUGUUCUUGCGCGCGAUCUUGGUCUUGGGAGUCGUUGUCGUGUAGAGGAUUGCGGUUUGCUUGACGAUCUUGACACGCGGCACGACGAAGAGUGUUCGAUGUCGGAGUACUUGAGCCGGAGAUAGUGUCGUCGGAUUGUCGACUCGAGCGGCUCCGUCUUGAGUAGGACGAAGUGGUAGAAGAGUGGUUGACCAACAAGGCACGAAUUUCGUCCAUUCUUGCAUCAUUCUCUUGUUUGUGUUCGUCAAGCUUGUUGUCGAAGUAGUCUCUAGUACGUUGCACGGAUAGUCGCAAGUCGGUGGCGAGAUUGUCGAUGCGGUUGCUCAUUGCUUGUUGCUCUUGAUGCAAAGCUCGUUGCGUUCCAAAUAGGUGUAGCUUGGUGACGUAGUUGUUCGGGUCGUCGUCUUGCUCAAGGAAGAGUGGGUUGGUAGAAGUACUUGGCCUAUCCAUCAUUCCAAACAAAUAUGUGAGUGGGAGAAAGAGAAGAACUUGUACCAAAUGUACCUUGACCGAUGUUGAAGAUGGAUCAAUGAUCACUCAAAUGUGGAACAAGGAAAUAACACAAUUGGUACCAAUUCUUGUCGGUUUCUCACACCUACACAAGUAAAAGCUUAUGGUGGAGCUUGGUUAGGAUGGUGGCACAAAAUUUGAUGCAACUGUUAGUGAGACUCAAUAAUGUUGGAAAAGAUUCACAAAUUUGCAAAUGCAACAAGUAGACCAAUAGCAAGAUAUGGUGCACAGAAACACACAUGCAAAUAGAUAAGUGGGGUCAUGCAACCAAGGAAUGAGCCAAAAUGUGGAAUCCACGAAAAUGCUCUUGUUGCACAACACUAGAGAGACGCUAGCACGAUUGCACAAUAGGCGGAUACGAGACUUGUGCACAACCUACUAAGCAAAAAUGCAACGACUUCUAUCCCAAGUAUGUUAUAUGUAUGGUAUUCUGAUGAUAUGAUCCAAGAUGAUCGAGUAUGACAAUCUUAAUGUAGUAUGAUGCUAUGGUUCUUGCUUAUAAGCUCUUUGUGAACGUUAUGAACCAAGAUAGCAAUUGUGUAUAUGUGAUGACAACCUUGUGACACAAGAGAUGAUACAGGAUAUGCACCACGAUGGUAUGGUAUGUAUGCUAUGGGAAGUAUGAUCACUAAUGUGCACAAGUCACGUUGCUGGCAAUACUCAAAGGCUAGUCUCGAUGGGUAAGUGACGCAAAAGUAAGGCUAUAGGUUUAUCAAUGCAAUUGCAAGAAUGUACAAUGAUAUCACGAUACCAAGAUGAGGUUACCGUUGUUAUGUUCGGUAUGGUGUCAAAAUGGUGGAGUGGUCGUUGUCGAAGACGAAUCCGUGGCGAAGAUGAGCGGUGCUGAUGUUGAUGUUGAGCCGUACCUAAAUAGCCGAAACACAAUAGGACACGGGAACCGCAACUCAAAUUCUCAAAGCAAAACGUGUCAAAAUUGUCGAAAUUGGUAGUGGGUAAGCGGUGGUAGUGUUUGUGGAAAGCGAUGGUGCUAUGCGGAAGUGAUGGUGGUAUGCGGAAGUGUAAGUGGGCACCGGAUCGAAAUUUGGCGAAAGUUAGGCGGAAAACGAAGCGUUGGGUGGAAGUGAUGCUGUCAGGGGUCGGAUGUCCGGGCUUGUGGGCCAGAUGUCCGGGAUGGCCGGAUGGCCGGGCUGUCGGGCCAGAUGUCCGGGCUCUGGAUCCGUGGACGAACUCGAUGAACUCCGCGUGGAAGAGACAAAUUUGGGGCAAAAUUCAGGAGAUUUUGUGGAUGGAAAUUGGGGAAAAGAUGGUGGAAAGCUAGAUCUACCUGCAACACACGAAAUCCACGGAUCAAAUCCAACAAAACUUCAUCACACCAACAAAUCACAAAAAAAAUUGGGGGGCUAUUUUUGUGGGGAACUUUCGAAUUAGGGACAAAAUCAACAAAACUAGGCUAGAAAACAAAGAGGGGAGGCUCCGAAAUCGUGAUCAACGUGGCUCAUGAUACCAAGAUGAUGUAGGGUGGAACCCUAGAUGGCCGAUCUUUCACGCAAGGAGCGGAUCCCAAUGAGGAACACGAAGAACACGAGGGAAAACACAAGAGAAUCACUCAAACCAACAAGAUUCGGUCACACAUAUGCUAGAUCCUCGAAACACAAAGAGAUACACGAUCCACGAUAAACAAGGGACGAUACAUAGGCUAACCGGUUCUUCUCCGUGAGGAGGUCUUGAUGGGGCCACCCGAAAGGGGGUCUUGAAUCCAACGUGGAUCUUCUCCGAAGAGGGGCCACGGUCUCUCUCAAGGAGUAGAUCCGUAUGGAUGAGCGAGGCUCUAUCUCACAAAUGAGCUAUCACAACACUGACCCUGGAAAGAGGGAGGUGGAGGAGUAUAUAUAGUCUAGGUGGGCGAAGGGCCCUUACACUGUGCGCAGAUAGGGGAGGUCGGAUGUCCGGGCAUUGGGCCGGAUGUCCGGGUCUUCGCGAGGUGCCGGAUGUCCAGGCGGGCGCCGGAUGUCCGGGCGGUCGGGGCUGGCCUUAACGCUCUCUGGAUAGACGGGGUCUGGAUGUCCGGGCGAUGGGUCGGAUGUCCGGAGGCUAGUGAUGGGCCGGAUGUCCGGGUUGGGAAUCCGGAUGUCCGGGCUGGCGGGGUCGGCCUCGGUGCUCUCUAGAUAGAGGGUGUCGAAUUUCCGGGCUUCGGGCCGGAUGUCCGGGGCCUAUAGGUGCUUGGCGGUUGGGCAGCUGCUGUGGCCGAUGCUCCAAGGGCCGGAUGUCCGGGGUCGUGGCCGGAUGUCCGGGGCCUGGAAGCUGUUCUUGACUCCUUCCGUUGGUUCUCUUUGUCCAUGAACUUGUGGACUUGUCCGUCUUCAUGUGCAUCUUCGGGAGGGUCCUCUUGAUACCUAAUCAUGCACAACAUCUCGGACUUAGGUAGUAGCAAUGUCUCGAGUGGAUCAUAUGUGAUAUCACUAAGGAUGAAGUCACCUCGGUCUCGAGAGCUCUAGCUCGUGCUCAUGUCAUAUGUCCUGUUGGCACUCGGUGAGACGAUGGUAGGUCCAUGGGGAUGACCAUAGUGCUCCGCAUCACAUCAUCACCUCGCCCUCAACUAGUCUCUGUUCAUUUUGUAACUCCUAUUUCAAGUUACUAAUCAUAGCAACUGAACCAGUAUCAAAUACCCAGGGGCUACUAUGAACACUACUAAAGUACACAUCAAUAACAUGUAUAUCAUAUAUACUUUUGUUCACUUUGCCAUCCUUCUUAUCCGCCAAGUAUUUGGGGUAGUUCCGCUUCCAUUGACCAUUUCCUUUACAGUAGAAGCACUCAGUUUCAGGCUUGGGUCUAGCUUUGGGCUUCUUUAUGUGAGUGGCAACUUGCUUGCCAUUCUUCUUGAAGUUCCCUUUCUUCCCUUGCCCUUUUACUUGAAACUAGUGGUCUUGUAAACCAUCAACACUUGAUGCUUUUCUUGAUUUCUACCUUUGUCAAUUUCAGCAUCGCGAAGAGCUCGGGGAAUCGUUUUCGUCAUCCGUUGCUAUAGUUCAUCACGAAGUUCCAGUAACUUGGUGAUAGUGACUAUAUAAUUAUGUCAAUCACGAUUUUAUCUGGAAGAUUAACUCCCACUUGAUUCAAGCGAUUGUAGUACUCAGAUAUUCUGAUAAAAUGCUCACUGGUUGAGCUAUUCUCCUCCAUCUUGUAGGCAAAAUACUUGUCAGAGGUUUGAUACCUCUCGACUCGGGCAUGAGUCUGAAAUACCAAUUUCAGCUCCUGGAACAUCUUAUAUGCUCCUUGUCAUUCAAAACGUUUUUGAAGUCCCGGUUCUAAGCCGUAAAGCAUAGUGCACUAAACUAUCAAGUAGUCAUCAUACCGAGCUUGCCAAACGUUCAUAACGUCUGCAUUUGCUCCUCCAAUAGGUCUGUCACCUAGCGGUGCAUCAAGGACAUAAUUCUUCUGUGCAGCAAUGAGGAUAAUCCUCAGAUCACGGACCCAGUCCGCAUCAUUGCUACUAUCAUAUUUCAACUUAUUUUUCUCUAGGAACAUAUCAAAAAUAAAAAAGGGGAGCUAUACGCGAGCUAUUGAUCUACAACAUAGAUAUGCGAAAACUAUCAGGACUAAGUUCAUGAUAAAUUAAAGUUCAAUUAAUCAUAUUACUUAAGAACUCCCACUUAGAUAGACAUCCCUCUAGUCAUCUAAAUGAUCACGUGAUCCAUAUCAACUAAACCAUGUCCGAUCAUCACGUGAGAUGGAGUAGUUUUCAAUGGUGAACAUCUCUAUAUAUCUACUAUAUGAUUCACGUUCGACCUUUCGGUCUCAAUGUUCCGAGGCCAUAUCUGUAUAUGUUAGGCUCGUCAAGUUUAACCCAAGUAUUCUGCAUGUGCAAAACUGGCUUGCACCCGUUGUAUGUGAACGUAGAGCUUAUCACACCCAAUCAUGACGUGGUGUCUCGGCACGACGAACUGUAGCAACGGUGCAUACUCAGGGAGAACACUUAUACCUUGAAAUUUAGUGAGGGGUCAUCUUAUAAUGCUACAGCCGAACUAAGCAGAAUAAGAUGCAUAAAGGAUAAACAUCACGUGCAAUCAAAAUAUGUGACAUGAUAUGGCCAUCAUCAUCUUGUGCCUCUGAUCUCCAUCUCCAAAGCACCGUCAUGAUCUCAAUCGUCACCGGCUUGACACCUUGAUCUGCAUCGUAGCAUCGUUGUCGUCUCGCCAACUAUUGCUUCUACGACUAUCGCCACCGCUUAGUGAUAAAGUAAAGCAAUUACAUGGCGAUUGCAUUUCAUACAAUAAAGCGACAACCAUAAGAGUCCUGCCAGUUGCUGAUAACUUUUACAAAACAUGAUCAUCUCAUACAAUAAUUUAUAUAUCAUCACGUCUUGACCAUAUCACAUCAGAACAAGCCCUGCAAAAACAAGUUAGACGUCCACUACUUUGUUGUUGCAAGUUUUACGUGGCUGCUACGGGCUUCUAGCAAGAACCGUUCUUACCUAUGCAUCAAAACCACAAUGAUUUUUCGUCAAGUGUUCUGUUUUAACCUUCAACAAGGACCGAGCGUAGUCAAACUCGAUUCAACUAAAGUUGGAGAAACUGACACCCGCUAGCCACCUGUGUGCGAAGCACGUCGGUAGAACCAGUCUCAUGAAGGUGGUCAUGUAAUGUUGGUCCGGGCCGCUUCAUCCAACAAUACUACCGAAUCAAAGUAAGACGUUGCUGGUAAGCCGUAUGACUAUUAUCGCCGACAACUCAUUGUGUUCUACUCGUGCAUAUAACAUCUACGCAAAGACCUGGCUCGGAUGCCACUGUUGGGGAACACAGUAUUUCAAAAAAAUUAUUUACGAUCACGCAAGAUCUAUCUAGGAGAUGCAUAGCAACGAGAGGGGAGAGUGUGUCCACGUACCCUCGUAGACUGAAAGCGAAAGCGUUUAGUAACGCGGUUGAUGUAGUCGAACGUCUUCGCGAUCCAACCGAUCCAAGCACCGAACGUACGACACCUCCGCAUUCAGCACACGUUCAGCUCGAUGACGUUCCUCAAACUCUUGAUCCAGUUGAGGACGAGGGAGAGUUCCGUCAGCACGACGGCGUGGCGACGGUGAUGAUGAAGUUACCGGCGCAGGGCUUCGCCUAAGCACUACGAUGAUAUGAUCGAGGUGUGUAACUGUGGAGGGGGCACCACACACGGCUAAGAGAAGACUUCGUGUGUUCUAUCGGUGCCCCCCCCACAUAUAUAUAGGUGGGAGGGGUAGGGAGCAACAGGAGGCGCGCCCCAAGUAGGAGGAAUCCUACUUGGGGCCUAAUCCUAUUCGGCCUCCCCCCUUUCCAUGUUUUCCAGAGGGAGAAGGAAAGAGGAGGGGGAGAGAAGGAAAGGGGAGGAUGAAUUGCCCCUUCCUUUCUCUCCUCUCCCUUUCCUUUCCUCCUAUUCGGCCAUGUAUGGGGCGCACCAGCCCACUAGGGGCUGGUCUAUCCCGCCCUAGGCCCAAUAAGGCCCAUAUCUUGGCCGGGGGUGCCCGGAACCCCUUUCCGGUGACCCGAUACGUACCCGGAACACUUCCGGUGUCCAAAUACUAUCGUUCUAUAUAUGAAUCUUUACCUCUCGACCAUUUCGAGACUCCUCAUCAUGUAUGUGAUCUCAUCCGAAACUCCGAACAACAUUCGGUCGUCAAAUCACAUAACUCAUACAAUAUAAAAUCGUCAUCGAACGUUAAGCGUGCGGACCCUAUGGGUUCGAGAACUAUGUAGACAUGACCGAGACACCUCUCCGGUCAAUAACCAAUAGCGGAACCUGGAUGCUCAUAUUGGCUCCCACAUAUUCUACUAAGAUCUUUAUCGGUCAAACCGCAUAACAACAUACGUCAUUCCCUUUGUCAUCGGUAUGUUACUUGCCCGAGAUUCGAUCGUCGGUAUCAUCAUACCUAGUUCAAUCUCAUUACCGGCAAGUCUAUUUACUCGUUCCGUAAUGCAUCAUCCCGCAACUAAAUCAUUAGUCACACUGCUUCCAAGGCUUAUAGUGAUGUGUAUUACCGAGAGGGCCCAGAGAUACCUCUCCGAUACACUGAGUGAAAAAUCCUAAUCUCGAUCUAUGCCAACCCAACAAACACCUUCGGAGACACCUAUAGAGCAUCUUUAUAAUCACCCAGUUACAUUGUGACAUUUGAUAGCACACAAGGUGUUCCUCCGAUAUUCGGGAGUUGCAUAAUCUCAUAGUCAGAGGAACUUGUAUAAGUCAUGAAGAAAGCAAUAGCAAUAAAACUCAACGAUCAUUAUGCUAAGCUAACGGAUGGGUCUUGUCCAUCACAUCAUUCUCUAACGAUGUGACCCCGUUCAUCAAAUGACAACACAUGUCUAUGGUUAGGAAACUUAACCAUCUUUGAUUAACGAGCUAGUCAAGUAAAGGCAUACUAGGGAUACUCUGUUUUGUCUAUGUAUUCACACAUGUACUAAGUUUCCGGUUAAUAUAAUUCUAGCAUGAAUAAUAAACAUUUAUCAUGAUAUAAGGAAAUAUAAAUAACAACUUUAUUAUUGCCUCUAGGGCAUGUUUCCUUCAGAUGAUAGGCCGUGGAGAAUAGUAGCUUGAUGUCAAGCUUGGCGCAAAGCGUCUUCCAAAAGUAGCUUAGGAACUUGAUGUCUCGGUCUGACACAAUUGUCUUUGGCACUCCAUGUAACCGCAAGAUUUCCCUACAAAAAAGAUUUGCAACAUGUGAAGCAUCGUCUAUCUUAUUGCAUGGGAUGAAAUGUGCCAUUUUAAAGAAUCGGUCCACAACAACAAAUACGGAAUCCUUGCCAUUUUGAGUCAUAGGUAAUCCAAGCACAAAAUCCAUGCUAAUAUCUUCCCAUGGUUGAUAUGGAAUAGGAAGUGGCAUAUGUCAACCAUGAGACUGAGCUUGUAAAUUAGCUUUGCGGCAUGUAGAGCAUCGGUUGGUGAAGCGUGAGACAUCGCGAAACAUGUUGGGCCAAAAGUAGUUCUUGGAGAGCAUGGAAAAAGCCUUGUCGCGUCCAAAAUGUCCCAUAAGUCCUCCUCCAUGAGCCUCUUGCAAAAGUAACAAACGAAGAGAAGACUCGGGGAUGCAUAGUUUGUUAGCUCUCAUUAGAUAACCAUUUGUGAUAUGAUAGUGCUCCCAAAAUGUAUGCGUCAAACACUUGGCAAAAGGAAUAGCAAAAGUAGCAUCAUUCUCAUAUAAGUCAUUGAUAUGCUCGAAUCCAACAACAUUCAAUUCAAGUUGAGUAACUAACAUGCUCUUGCGGGAAAGAGCAUCCACCACUACAUUUUCUUUGCCCUUAAUGUAUUUGAUCAUGUAAGGGAAAGAUUCAAUAAAUUCACUCCAUUUAGCAUGUCGUUUAUUCAACUUAGUUUGACCUUUAAGGUAUUUAAGUGUCUCAUGAAUCAUGAUCGGUAUGUAUGAAAAAUUCAUGUGGGUGAAGAUAAUGCCCCCAAACAUGCAAUACUCGCACUAAAGCAUACAAUUCUUUGACAUAGAUAGGAUAGUUAAGUUGAGCGCCGGAUUUUUUUUCGCUAAAGUAUGCAAUGGGUCGCUUUUCUUGCAUCAAAACUCCGCCAAUUCCAUUACCACUAGCAUCGAAUGAACCUCAAAAGUUUUGUCGAAAUUAGGCAAAGCAAGGAUCGGAGCAUGUGUAAGCAAAGAUUUGAGCUCAUCAAAUGCGGUAGAUUGUGAGGGUCCCCAAACAAAGGGUGCAUUUUUCUUACUCAAGGCAUGCAACGGUGCGGCAAUAGUGCUAAAGUCUUUCACAAAGCGACGAUAAAAACCCAAACAAGGAAACUACACACUUGUUGCAAAUUAGUGGGUUGUGGCCAAGUUUUAAUUGCUUCAAUUUUAGACUCAUCAACAUGAACACCCUUGGAAGAAACAACAAAACCUAAGAAAACAAGCUUGUCAACACCAAAAGUGCAAUUUUCCAUAUUGGCAUAAAGACAUUCUUUUCGAAGAGUUUGCAAAACGGCUCUAAGAUGAUUUACAUGAUCUUUGAGGGAUUUGCUAAACACAAGUAUGUCGUCAAAGUAGACCACAACAAACACUCCAAUGUAUGGGCGAAGCACAAAAUGCAUAACACGCAUGAAAGUACCGGGAGCUUCUGAUAAACCCAUAGGCAUAACUAACCACUCGUACAAGCCAAAUUUAGUUUUAAAAGCGGUGUUCCAUUCAUCACCUUCUUGAAUGUGGAUUUGGUAAUAGCCACUUUUAAGAUCAAUUUUCGAGAAAGUGGUGGCACCGCUAAGCUCAUCUAGCAUAUCGUCAAGGUGUGGAAUGGGAUGCUUAUAGCGAACGGUGAUAGCAUUGAUGGGUCUAUAAUCGGAACACAUGCAAAAACUCCCGUCUUUCUUAGGCACAAGAAUAAACGGAAUGGCACAAGGGCUUAAGCUUUCACGUACAUGGCCUUUGUCGAUGAGUUGUUGUACUUGCCAUUGGAUCUCCUUAGUUUCUUCAGGGUUGACGCGGUAUGGAGCCUUGUUCGUAAGAGGUGCACCGGGGAUGAGGUCGAUCCAGUGUUCGAUGCCACGUAGAGGAGGAAGACCCAGAGGUAGCUCAUCAGGGAAGACAUCCGUGAAUUCCUGCAACAAGUUAGAUAACACUAGAGGAAGAGGGUUAGAAGGGUUAGUCCUUGCCACCUCAUCUUUGCACACUAGGACGUAGUGUAUGCCACUCGAUGGGUUCACACACACUUCUCUCAUCUCUCUUUUAGUGGCUAGGAGGACUAAGUUUUUCUCUCUCGGUGAAGAGUCACUCAUUUUGGGCUUGUGGCGCUCACUCUCUUUGUGGUGGUUCACUCUCUCACUAGUCAUGCUUGCUUAUCGGCGAUCACUUGACUUGGUGACAUAGGUCGUAGCAUGAACUCCUUUCCCUUCAUCUUGAAGCUAUAGUGAUUUGUUCUUCCGUUGUGGAUGACGCCACGGUUGAAUUGCCAAGGUCUUCCCAAGAGAAGAUGGCACACGGACAUGGGAACCACAUCACACUCCAAGGUGUUCUCGUAGGCGCCGAUCUUGAACGAAACUUGCAGGGUGUGCUCCACUUGAAUGGUGCCGAAGUCGCUGAGCCAUUGGACCUUGUAGGGACGAUGAUGCUUCUUCUUGACCAAUUGUAGCUUGGAACAUAGCUCUCCACUUGCCAAAUUGUGGCAACUUCCUCCGUCGAUGAUGACCUUCACGGAACGACCAUUGAUGUCGGCCUUGGUGUGGAAGAUGUGGCAACGUCGGUCUUCGUCUUGGUGGUGUUGAAGCGUCAAGACCUUGGAGAACACGAGAGCGGGACUUGAAUCAUUGCCGCAAAAGACUUGAUCAUCAUCUUCUUCAUUCACUUGACGGUGCAUGCCGACGUGCUCGAGGGCGUCCAUCUCGUCUUCGCUCAUGGAGUCGUAAGUGCCAUCAUCAUUGAGAAUAAUGGUUCGCCGGUUGGUGCAUUGGAAAGACUUGUGUCCUCGGCCGCCACAUGUGAAACACUUGAUAGAACUUUUCUUGACGGGGUCAUCCGGUGCCGCCGAUGACGAGGGAGUCUUGGACUUGUAGUUGCUUGCCGGAGAACGAGUCGAGGAAGGUGUCGCUUGCUUGGAACUUGACUUGUAGCUGGUGCUUGUUGGUGCUCUAGUCGAGGUAGGAGGUGUCGUAGUUGAGGAAGCUUGAGUGUAUGAGCAGUAGGUCUUCGAAGAGUACUUGGCGUAUUUGAAGUCUUCUUGCACUUGUCGCUCCGCCUUGAUCGCUUGAUGAACUAGCUCUAGAAGGUUGGAGUAGGGUUGGAAAUCGACAAUCUUCCUUAUUUGGUGAUUGAGUCUGUUCAAGAAGCGUGCCAUAGUUUGCUCGCCGUCUUCCUUGACAUUGGCUCGUAUCAUGGCAAUCUCCAUUUCUUGAUAGUAUUCUUCCACCGUCUUCAUGCCUUGCUUGAGGAGUUGUAACUUCUUGAAGAGAUCUCGGGUGUAGUGUGUAGGCACGAAGCGAGCUCUCAUGACAUCCUUCAUUUGUGUCCAAGUUGUGAUGGGUGGUUUGCCUCGCUCUUAGCAUCGCUCAAUCACUUGUUCCCACCAAAUGAGGACGUAGUCUUGAAACUCUAGGGAGGCCAUGGUGAUCUUCUUUUCUUUGUCGUAGUUGUGAAGAUGGAAUAUCUUGUCGACUUUCAAUGCCCAUGAGAGAUAUGCUUUAGGAUCAUUGCUUCCGGAGAACUUGGGCAUGGUGAACUUGAGCUUGCCAUAGCGGAGUUCUUCAUCAUAGUGGCGGUUUUGAUGUCGCUCUUGGUGUGGUGGAGGGUCUUCAAGCACUCAUUCCGCUUGAUGUCGCUCUUGGCAUGGAGGAUCUUGAAGCACUCGUUCUGCUUGGUGUCGCUCUUGGCGUGGAGGAGGGCGAAGCAUAUGUGCUUGGCUUCGUCUUUCUUGUUGCUCUUCACGUCGGGCGGCUUCUUCUUGUCGUGCUUGGCAAAGUUCUUCCUCUUGCUCACGUACAAGGCGGCUACGAGCGGCAAUGGCUCUAGUGGACUCACGGAGUGCGUCUUGAGCCGCUUGAGCUUGUGCUUCAUGACUUUGUUGCUCUUGUCGAAUUGCAUCAUCGUCAUGAGAUGGUUGAUGUGGACGAUGUGGUGGGGUUGCUCUUGAUCCUCGGUGUCUUGUGCUUGGCGUCUCGUCCUUUCACGUGCUCGAACUCGAACUUGUAAUCCAUUGACAUGGAAAGGAUUGUAUUGAGCUUGGCAAUCCUUAGUGUCGUCGUGGCGAUGAGAACGAGGUCAAGGAGGACUCGCAUCGGAAGAAGAGUAUGACGACGAAUGGCGACUUGAGUGGCGUCGUCUUGGUGACGAGGUUGAGGAAGACACACAACUCACGAUCAUGUUGCGGAAUUCGUCCAUUUAUUUGGAGAGCUUGGCGUUGAGGUAGUCCUGGUUCCGUGCUUCCGAUUGAUGUAGGUCAGUGGCGAGUUGCUCGAUGUGAUCACCCAAAGCUUUACUUUCUUGAUGGAGAGCUUGUUGGGCAGCGAAAAAGUGAGUUUUGUUGACGUGGUUGCGUUCAUCAUCUUGACCCUCGAAGAGUGGGUUCGCUGAAGAAGUUGGCCCAUCCAUCAUAACCAAGAGGGGGUGAGUAGGAAAAUGAGAGAACAAUACCAAAGGUACCUUUUCCGAAGAUUGUGGAUGUAUCGAGUAUCGCUCAAUGUAAUGCUACAAUAGUAGAAUUGGUGCCAGGUUUGUUUCUCACACCUACACAAGUAAAGCUUAUGGAGGAGCUUGGUUAGGAUGAGUGGCACAAAAUUUCAAGCAAAUGUUAGUCAAGCUAUCGAUAAGGUUGAGAAGGUUCACACAAUUGCAAGUAAAGCAAAUAGAUCGAGCCCAAGAAUAUCACUAGAAACACACACACGGAAGAUAGAUGGGAUCCGCACAACCACGGAGUGAGCUCAAAAUGUGUAAUCCGGAAAAUGCUCUUGUUGUACGGAUACACGAGAGACGCUAGCUCGAUUUCUCAAAUGGGCUUGAUACGCUCUAGUGCACCUACCUAUAAGAGUAACCGUGUCGUCUUCAAUCCCAAAUAUGCUAUGUAUGUGGUGUCCAAUAUGAUGCUACUAUGCAAAUGGCACAAUGCUAAUGCUUACAAGCUCUUUGUUUCUUCUCUUUUUCUUAAAAGCUUUUUCUCUCUUUUUUUCGCUAUGCUUGAUGCUCGAGCCAAGUAUGAUAUGAGACAAGUAUGUAAGAUAUGCACGGGGGAGACUUGUGGCACAAUGAUGAUAGCAAUAUGAUUUGCACGCUAAAUGUAGCUAUGCGGCGCAAGCGUAUCACUAAGGUGCACAAAGAGCGCGGCCCGGCAAUUCACAACUCGCUAGUCUCGAUAGGUAAGUGACACAAAAUGGCUCGGGUUAAUUAUCAAAGCAAUGGCAAGGAAAUGUACUAGGUGUCGUCGAGGUUACCGUCCUUGCUUACGGUUGGUAUGAGGAUGAAGUGCUCGUUGUCAAUGUCGAGGUCGAAGCAAUGAUGAAGAGCGGUAUCGUCGAUGUCAAACCGUUCCUAAGUAGCCGAAACACCUUAGGAAAUGGAAACCGCUACUCAAAAUCGGUCAAAUGCAGAAAGUGGGUGUGUUUAUGAUGAAAAAUUUGAUGGAGGAAAGUGGGUGCUUUUAACGAUCCAAGAGUAUGAGGGAUGUGAAGAGCUACAAAACAAGCCAAAGAACAUGAAAAACGGACUUCAGAGGUGAAAGUUAUGGCCGAAAUGGAGUUGUUGGUGGGCUGAUUCUGGGGGGGGGCGGGCACUCAGGGGUUCGGGGUGCGGGUGCCGGGGUGGUCAGGGAAAACUUGCCCGGGAGUGCGGCCACCCGGUGUUGGACGAUUUGGGCGGAAAUUUUUGAGAAGUGGCCAAAUUCGGUGGAUUUCGUGAUGGGAAGGGUGGGGAUGGUUGGGGAGGGGCUAGAUCCACUUGCCAAACAACAAAGCCAUGGACCAAAACAACAAAAUCUCACAAGAACCAACAAAUUGCAAGAAAAUUGUUUGGGGCUAUUUUUGUGGGGAUUUUCAAAUUGGGACCAAAAAGCAACGAAAUUAGGCUAGCAAAUGGUGUGUAAGGACUCCGAGAUGUGAAUCAACCUUGCUCAUGAUACCAAGAUGUUGUAGGGUGAAACCCUAGGUGAGAUCUUUUCACACUUGGAGGGGGGAAAGUGACGAACACACAAUAACACAAUGGGGAAAUCACUCAAACAAACCCAAAUCACACAUCCACUAGAGUAGCAUACAUGAGAUCCACAAGCAUACAAGAACAAUCCAAGGAAAAUAGCACUAGGGUAAAGUUCUUCCCACUCCAAAGGAAGUGAUGGUCUUCUCUAAGAGGAGGCCUUGAUAAUCCACUAGGAUUCUUCCCAAUAGGGGUCUUGAUCUCCAAGAGGAGGGGAAGAUGAACAAAGCUCUCUCAAUGUCUAUCCAAUACUUUGCUAACCCCAAAAACAAGCUAGAAGAGGAGUACAUAUAGGCUAGGGACGGAUUGGGGUAAAACAAGGGUACAUGAGUAAAUUAGCCCGAAAUGCGCAUAGGCACGGUGGAGGGUCCGGGAACCCGGGGUAAAGGGGUCCGGGCACCCGGGGGUCGUUGGGAGACGGAGGGCUGGGCACCCGGGGCGUCUAGGGGGUCGCGCCCUUGGCGGCUGUAGGGGGCCGGGCACCCAGGGGCUGAGGGUCCAGGCACCCAGGGUGGGAUGAGGGCCUCGCCCAGGCAGCAGCCGGGCACCCGGGGGCCAAAGAGGUCGAGCACCCGGGGCGGCAAGGGAGGCGCCCAACCGGUGGCUGGGGAGCCGAGCACCCGGGGCUGCAGGUGGCCGGGCACCCGGAGUGGUCUGGGACCUCCAUUGCUUCGUGCUUCUCGUGUCUUGCAUUCUCUUCCUUCUCCAUGGUCGUUUGCAUAUCUGCCCUAGCUUCUUCAUGAUCAUCUCCUUGGUACCUAAGAAUGCAUAACAUUUCCGUUUGAGGUAGGACCCAACUCUCAUGUGAAUUCGAAUGGAGUUCAAAGAGGAAAGAGUUAACCUCGGUUUCCAUGGCACGUGCGCGAGCUCUCAUCAUUGGUCCUCUUCAUGGUGCUUGAUGAGUUUUAGUGGAAUCCAUGGGGAUGAUGGAGGGAUGCUCCGCAUCAUCUCCUCACCCUUGGGAGAGAUUCGUCAGCGGAUCGUGAUCUUCAUCACCAUGGUAUUUGGCCAAGUCCUUGACAUUGAAGAUGUCGCUAACAUGUUACUUGUCGCGUGUGAUGUCUAUCUUGUAGGCCUUAUCAUUGUAGCGUGCUAGCACCUUGAAGGGUCCAUCGGCUCAUGGUAGUAGUUUGGACUUGCGUUCGUUGGGGAAGCGGUCCUUGCGAAGAUGGAGCCAUACGAGAUCUCCCGGUUUGAACACCAUUGGUGUCUUGUUGAUGUUGAGCUUGGUGGCGAGGCGGUGUACUUGACGCUCGAUCGUGGACCUUGUUUCUUCAUGCAUCUUCUUGAGGUAAGUGGCUCUUACGCUAGCGUCCAGGUUCGCUCGUUCUUGGAGCGGUAGAGGAAGGAUGUCCAAGGGUGACAAAGGGUUGAAGUCAUAGACAACCUCGAAGGGGGACUUGCCGGUAGUAGAGUGUCUUGCGUGGUUGCAGGCGUACUCGGCGAUGGGUAAGCACUCCUCCCACUACUUGAUGUUCUUCUUGAUCAACACGCGUAGGAGAGUGGAGAGUGUCCAGUUGGUGACUUCCGUUUGGCCAUCGGUUUGAGGAUGAUGUUGGGGAACACAGUAUUUCAACAAAUUUAUCUACGAUCACGCAAGAUCUAUCUAGGAGAUACAUAGCAAUGAGAGGGGAGAGUGCGUCCACGUACCCUCGUAGACCGAAAGCGGAAGCGUUUAGUGACGCGGUUGAUGUAGAUGAACAUCUUCGCGAUCCAACCAAUCCAAGCACCGAACGUACGGCACCUCCGCGUUCAGCACACGUUCAGCUCGAUGACGUCCCUCGAACUCUUGAUCCAGUUGAGGACGAGGGAGAGUUCCGUCAUCACGACGGCGUGGCGAUGAUGAUGAUGAAGUUACCGGCGCAGGGCUUCGCCUAAGCACUACGACGAUAUGACCGAGGUGUGUAACUGUGGAGGGGGGCACCGCACACGGCUAAGAGAAGACUUCGUGUGUUCUAUCGGUGCCCCCCACAUAUAUAUAGGUGGGAGGGGGAGGGAGCAGCAGGAGGCACUCCCCAAGUAGGAGGAAUCCUACUUGGGGCCUAAUCCUAUUCGGCCUCCCCCCUUUCCAUGUUUUUCGGAGGGAGAAGGAAAGAGGAGGGGGGAGAGAGGGAAAGGGGAGGCUGAAUUGCCCCCCUUCCUUUCUCUACUCUCCCUUUCCUCCCCCCCUAUUCGGCCAUGUAUGGGUGUAGGAUCGAAAGUAUGUCUAGAGGGGGGUGAUUAGACUACUUGACCAACUAAAAAUCUAGCCUUUCCCCAAUUUUAAGUUUUGGCAGAUUUUAGCAACUUAGCACAAAUCGAGUAAUCGACCUACACAUGCAAUUCUAAGAGUAUAGCAGCGGAAUGUAAAACAAUUGCAUAUGAAGGUAAAGGGAGGAGUUUGGAGGGAGCAAACGCAAUGUAGACACGGAGAUUUUUUAUCCAUGGUUCUGAUAGGUGGUGCUAUCGUACAUCCACGUUGAUGGAGACUUCAACCCACGAAGGGUAAAGGUUGCGCGAGUCCACGGAGGGCUCCACCCACGAAGGGUCCACGAAGAAGCAACCUUGUCUAUCCCACCAUGGCCAUCGCCCACGAAGGACUUGCCUCACUAGGGUAGACCUUCACGAAGUAGGCGAUCUCCUUGCCCGUACAAACUCCUUGGUUCAACUCCACAAUCUUGAUGGAGGCUCCCAAGUGACACCUAACCAAUCUAGGAGACACCACUCUCCAAAAGGUAAUAGAUGGUGUGUGAUGAUGAACUCCUUGCUCUUGUACUUCAAAUGAUAGUCUUCCCAACACUCAACUCUCUCUCAUAGGAUUGGAUUUGGUAGAAAGAUGAUUUGAGUGGAAAGCAACUUGGGGAAGGCUAGAGAUCAAGAUUUAUGUGGUUGGAAUGAAAUAUCUUGACCUCAACACAAGUCUAGGUGGUUCUCUCUCAGAAAAUGUAUGUUGGAAGUGUAGGCAUGUUCUGAUGGCUCUCUCCACAAAUGAAGAGUGGGUGAAGGGGUAUAUAUAGCCGCCACACAAAAUCUAACCGUUACACACAAAUCACCAAACUCGGUGGGACCGAUUCCAUUAGGGUUAGGGCAUAACGUAAUCUCGGUGAGACCGAUUACAGAAACUCGGUGGGACCGAUUUUGGUAAUAGGCAAACAGAGAGUUGGUCAGGAAAACUCGGUGGGAUCGAUUCGCUCAUCUCGGUUAGACCAAAAUGUUACGAAGGGGAAACAGAGAGUUUGAAUUGCGAUCUCGGUGGGACCGAUCGCUCAUCUCGGUUGGACCGAAACGUUACGAAGGGAAACAGAGAGGUUGCAAUCCCAUCUCGGUGAGACCAAAGUGACUAGGGUUUGUGGCAGUGGCUAUGUCAAGUGAACUAGGUGGCGCCGGAUAGAAAAUUUCGGUGGGGCCGAGUUUGACUUUUGGUUUGGGACAUAUGUGGAUAUGAGAAAGUAGUUGAGGGUUUUUGGAGCAUAUCACUAAGCAUUUUGAGCAAGUAACUCAUUAAGCAACACCUCACCCCCUUUUAAUAGUAUUGGCUUUUCCUAUGGACUCAAUGUGAUCUUGGAUCACUAAAAGUAAAAUGUAGAGUCUUGUGCUUUGAGCUUGAGCCAAUCUUUUGUCCUUAGCAUUUUGAGGGGUCCACUUCCUAAUCCAUGCCAUGCCAAUCAUUGAGCUUUCCUGAAAUAUUUAUCUUGAAAUAGCAUUAGCUCAAUGAGCUAUAUGUUGUUAGAAAUUACCAAAACCACCCAGGGAUAGUUGCACUUCAAUCUCCCCCUUUUAGGUAAUUGAUGACAACAUAUAGAUCAAAGCUUCGAUAAAUGAUAAUAAGAUUGAAAAACAUCGUCGCUUUGAGAAGUAUGUGAUAAGCAAGAGCUCCCCCUAAAUAUGUGCAUUAUUUAUAAUUUGCUUUUGAAUGCAAAUGCACAAUCGAUUAGGAUCAUGGGUUACUCUUCCAUGUCACAUACAUCUUGGUGGAGUGCUCAAAAUGAUAGAGAUUAAAAGCACGCACUCAUCACCAAGCAAGUGAAUGAUCAUAUAUGAGAUAUAAAAGAUAGUAUCAUCCAAACAAGCAUGAAGGUAGCAAAUGAUCAACCACAUGAUCAUACAAGUAUCUCACAGGACAUAAAGUAUCUCACACAAGCACACAAUCAAAAAGUUCAACCAAAAGCAAGAGAGAUAAUAAAGCAAGACACUCUCUCUCUCGAAGCCUAUGAUCUAUACAUAUUUCUCCCCCUUUGGCAACAAGUUACCAAAAAGUUCAAAUAUGCAUAGUGAUAUGCGUCUCUCAGGCUUGGUCUUCGGGAGGUGGUGUAGAGAGAACUCCAAGGACGAAGGCAUCUGUUGAUGUAGUUGGUGCUGGUGGAGUGGCUGCUCGAGGUGGCACUGGAGCUGUAGCUGCUGGUGCUGAUCCUGUAGCUCUAGAAUCUCUCACUGGCACUGCAGCAGACCUCUGUCCUCUAGGCACUCGCUCAAAUGCAUUAGUAGUUGCCUUGCCUCUCUUCUCUUCUGCUUCCUCCUGAAGCUGCUCAACUGCUGUUUGAAUCUCAGUUACCUUCAGAUCAAGAUCAUAAAUUUUGGUUUCUAUGAUCCUCUCCAAGCUCUCCUGGUUUUGGGUCAAGGUGGCCAAGCUCUUCUCAAUCCUCAGUGUAGACUGGAUCAGAUAUCCAAGUUGAUCUUGCUUGCUCUUCAGGAAAACUUGAGAUGCCUCUUCAACACGGGGCAUCUUGGCAGCUUUCUCAGCCUUUUCUUUGGCUCUCUUCUCCUGUGCUUGAACUGAAGAUGGUUCUUCCUCAUUCAUCACAACCUUGUUAUCUUCAAAUUCAGGAUAUAAGGGUAAGUGCUCCUUGUCCAACAAAUAAGUGCAUGUGCCCAUCUUGGAGUUGAUGAGCUCCUGAAUGUGUGGAGCAUACCCAUAGCUUCUCUUCUGAUCAGUAGUUGUCCUCUUGAUUGUUUUUACAAUCAAACUCAUGACCUUGAACUUCUGAGGGACAUCAAAAAGCUGUAGCAGGUUGAUAGAAUGUCCUCUGAUCAUCUUGUGAUCUCCAGACUUGGGUAGCAAUGUGUGCCUUAGGAUCCAGUUGAUAGUUGGCAGACCAGACAAUAGAUAGUGUACAGAUCCAAGCUUAUGAGUCUCCAAAGCUUUGUCUAGGAUCUCCUUGUACAUGUUGGCCAUGGUGUUGUGGUCUUUCUUCUUGGUGGCAUACACAUCCAAGUCAUCUUCAUGUUCCUCUGGGGCAUUGAUCAGCUUGGCCCAUUCUUCAACAGUGGAUUGGUACCUAGUACCUUCAGACAUCCAAAUGAUCUUCCCAUCUGGGUAAAAGUGAGCACUGGAGUAAAACUGCAUGAUCAGCUCAUCAUUCCAUUUUGUGAGCUUCUGAGCAACAAAUUUGUCAACUCCACAUGCUUUGAAGCUGUCAUGUACUCCUGGGAAGUGAUCUUCAUUUUCCUUGAUGAAUUCCCAAUCCACCCAUUUCAUGUCACAAACAAUGGGCUUCUUAUCAAGCAAUUUUUUUCAUAGAAGUCUUGUUGUUCCUUUGUAUGAAACCUGUAGUCAACUGCAGUCCUCCUCCUCACAGCAUAAGGAUUAGACUGUCUCCACAAUCUCAGUCCAGCAUCAUUUCUGAUACGGAUGUCUUCAGCUACUGGAUGAGCAUCAUUAUGGUCAGGAAUCUUGGGCUUCAACUUUCUUAAAACAAGUGAAUCAUCUUCCUCUUCUUCAGCUUGAGGCACUGGGGCCUUUUUCUUCUCCUCAGCAGGUAUACUUCUGGUGUUCCUCUUGGGUUUUGGAGGCUUCUGAGCUUGAGCUUUGGGAGCAGACUUGGGCUUAGAUGGAGCAGCCCCUGACUUUAUAGCAUCUCCCAUAAGCUUCUGAGCUUUGGGAGCUGGAGCAGCAUCCUCUUCCUCUUCUUCUUCUUCUUCAGAAUCUCUCAUCAUGGAGGGCUUGCCAAGUACUUUUGCAGUUGUGGUUCUUGCCCUCUUUUUCUUUUUGUCAUCUCCUGCUGCUUCACCUUCAUCAGAUUCUAUAGUGAAUUUCAUAGUCUCUCCUGUUGCAACCUUCCUUGGCUUUGACAUUGGAAUCCUUCUUGCUGGUGCUUUCUUAUUCAAUCCUGGCUUACUUGCAACAGUUGUUCCAUACUCCUUUUUCAGCACCUUCUUCUUGGAGCUUACUUCCUCCUCAGUGGCUGCCUUUGGCAAGUUGCUUGGAUCAAAAGUAUGCCUAGAGGGGGGGUGAUUAGACUACUUGACCAAAUAAAAAUCUAGCAUUUUCUCAAAUUUAAGUUUUGGCAGAUUUUAGCAACUUAGCACAAAUCAAGUAAUCAACCUACACAUGCAAUUCUAAGAGUAUAGCAACGGAAUGUAAAACAAUUGCAUAUGAAGGUAAAGGUAGGAGUUUGGAGGGAGCAAACGCAAUGUAGACACGGAGAUUUUUUAUCCGUGGUUCCGAUAGGUGGUGCUAUCGUACAUCCACGUUGAUGGAGACUUCAACCCACAAAGGGUAACGGUUGCGCGAGUCCACGGAGGGCUCCACCCACGAAGGGUCCACAAAGAAGCAACCUUGUCUAUCCCACCAUGGCCAUCGCCCACGAAGGACUUGCCUCACUAGGGUAGAUCUUCACGAAGUAGGCGAUCUCCUUGCCCGUACAAACUCCUUGGUUCAACUCCACAAUCUUGACAGAGGCUCCCAAGUGACACCUAACCAAUCUAGGAGACACCACUCUCCAAAAGGUAAUAGAUGGUGUGUUGAUGAUGAACUCCUUGCUCUUGUGCUUCAAAUGAUAAUCUCCCCAACACUCAACUCUCUCUCUCAUAGGAUUGGAUUUGGUAGAAAGAUGACUUGAGUGGAAAGCAACUUGGGGAAGGCUAGAGAUCAAGAUUUAUGUGGUUGGAAUGGAAUAUCUUGACCUCAACACAAGUGUAGGUGGUUCUCUCUCAGAAAAUGUAUGUUGGAAGUGUAGGCAUGUUCUGAUGGCUCUCUCCACGAAUGAAGAGUGGGUGAAGGGGUAUAUAUAGCCUCCACACAAAAUUUAACCGUUACACACAAAUCACCAAACUCGGUGGGACCGAAUUAUAGAACUCGGUCAGACCGAUUUGGUUCAUAAUGUGACCGUUAGGCAUUUCGGUGGGACCGACAUGUCAACUUGGUGGGACCGAUUCCAUUAGGGUUAGGGCAUAACGUAAUCUCGGUGAGACCGAUUACACAAACUCGGUGGGACCAAUUUUGGUAAUAGGCAAACAGAGAGUUGGUCAGGCAAACUCGGUGGGACCAAUUCGCUCAUCUCGGUUAGACCAAAAUAUUACGAAGGGGAAACAGAGAGUUUGCAUUGCAAUCUCGGUGGGACCGGUCGCUCAUCUCAGUUGGACCGAACGUUACGAAGGGAAACAGAGAGGUUGCAAUCCCAUCUCGGUGAGACCGAGAUCCCUAUCGGUGAGACCGAAGUGACUAGGGUUUGUGGCAGUGGCUAUGUCAAGUGAACUCGGUGGCGCCGGAUAGAAAGUUUCGGUGGGGCCGAGUUUGACUUUUGGUUUGGGACAUAUGUGGAUAUGAGAAAGUAGUUGAGGGUUUUUGGAGCAUAUCACUAAGCAUUUUGAGCAAGUAACUCAUUAAGCAACACCUCACCCCCUUUUAAUAGUAUUGGCUUUUCCUAUGGACUCAAUGUGAUCUUGGAUCACUAAAAGUAAAAUGUAGAGUCUUGUGCUUUGAGCUUGAGCCAAUCUUUUGUCCUUAGCAUUUUGAGGGGUCCACUUUCUAAUCCAUGCCAUGCCAAUCAUUGAGCUUUCCUGAAAUAUUUAUCUUGAAAUAGCAUUAGCUCAAUGAGCUAUAUGUUGUUAGGAAUUACCAAAACCACCCAGGGAUAGUUGCACUUUCAAUGGGGCGCACCAGCCCACUAGGGGCUGGUCUGUCCCGCCCUAGGCCCAAUAAGGCCCAUAUCUUGGUCGGGGGUGCCCGGAACCCCUUUCCGGUGACCGGGGACUGAGGGCCCGGGCACCCGGGGUGGGCAGAGGGCCUCGCCUAGGCAGCAGCCGGGCACUCGGGGGCCAAAGAGGCCGAGCACCCGGGGCGCCCAGGGAGGCGGCCAGCCAGCGGCUGGGGAGCCGGGCACCCGGGGCUGCAGGUGGCCGGGCACCCGGAGUGGUCUGGGACCUCCAUUGCUUCGUGCUUCUCGUGUCUUCCAUUCUCUUCCUUCUCCAUCGUCGCUUGUAUCUCCGUCCUAGCUUCUUCAUGAUCAUCUCCUUGGUACCUAAGAAUGCAUAACAUUUCCGUUUGAGGUAGGACCCAACUCUCAUGUGAAUUCGAAUGGAGUUCAAAUAGGAAAGAUUUAACCUCGGUUUCCAUGGCAUGUGCGCGAGCUCUCGUCAUUGGUUCUCUUCGUGGUGCCUGAUGAGUUGUAGUGGAAUCCAUGGGGAUGAUGGAGGGAUGCUCCGCAUCACAUUGCCAUGCACUUUGAUAGCACUUCCACCCUUUUUCUGAAUACCUUUGCUCCUAUCGAGAUUAGCUAUUUGAGAAUUGUUGGGCCUCAUGAAUUUGUGCACCGUAGUGAUAGCUUAUGAAUCUUACCAUGUUCUAUAGUUACUCUGUGUAUAUGUUGUAAUAGUUGUCUUACAUAGUCGACCAAGUCACAAGGAAAGUGGUAAAAGGAAGAGAAAGUUCAAAAAAGAAGGGCGGCCAGAGAAAUAUAUAGUAGGGUUUAUAAGCAAAAUAUUUGAGCAACAAAGAUACUUGUGCCGACGGUAAGUUGGAUAGAGAACGUUACACUUGUUCUUGUAGGUUGGUGCCAAGUUCACGAAUCUAGCCCUCAAGAGCAAUCAAGUUGGCGUCCCUUUGUCCUGUUCAACGUGAGCAUUGGUCUUAGUUAGGCAUUUUUGUCUUUCUCAUUCCUUUGGUUGCACUAGCCCCACUUAUCUUUAUGUGUGUGUGUUUCCGUUGCUAUAUCUCUAUUUUGUGAUUGUUGAGUGCCACAUGUGCAUGGCCCAUGCACGUAUGAUUUUCUAGUUGUCGUAAUCUUACCAAAUGUCCCACUUGUCCUCCAAAUAUUUCCCAUAUAAUUAGGAUCAUAGGCAUGGACGUCAGGACUCAUUGUACGCGCUAUAUAUGUGCAUCAUAUGCUGUGAAUACAUGUGCGUUGCAUCAUUAUAUUCUCUACUUGUUUCUCAUUUUCAAUCAUUUAGAUCUUACCCAAUUUUACAAUAUCUUGAUCCACUUGUUGCAUGAUUUUGUGCCACUAACCCUACCAAACUUCACAUAAAGCGUUAUGUGUAGGUAUUUCUAGUUUACUAGCUGACGAUGUAAGUGUUAUUUGAAGUCAAUAAAGCUAGCUAUGAAUGCCUUCCCAUAAAACAAACUACCAAGCUCCACAUUAAGCGUUGUGUGCAGGUGUGCUAGCUUUGGGAUUAGGAUCACUACCAAGCAUUGCCCCCUUCCACAUUGACAAUCUUGAGGUCUCUUGAUUUGUCGACAUCAGAAAGAGGGACUUUGAUAUUAUUCAUUUCUUUUUCUAGUCACACCUUGCUCGAGUGUCACUAUGGAUAGAGAAGGUACAUCUCGUCCGGUCUAUGGCGGCAACGAAGAUGCACAUUACUACGUCUCCGAGGCUCACCACUUCGACCUUCAAAGAGUCAUGAACGACACCAAUACCAUAUUGCAUGAGCGCAUUCAUAAUCUCUUGCUCGACAGGCGCUACAAGAUGUGUGAAUCUAAAGCUCCCACAAAAGACUACUUACACGUGAAGAUGGAAGCGCAAACAAACAACAUCCAAGGCUUGUUCAACAAUAGUGUUGUGACGACACCGCCGAUGCCGCAUCAUGGGGUGCGGCGAGGACGUGCGAGCAGGAGGGGGGGGGGUGCAGGGUGAACAGGAGAGAGACGCGAGAGGACGUGUGGCCACACACGAUCUAUGGCUUGGGUUGGUUGACCAAUGCUUGUGUGCCAUCCCACAGCCGGAGAUUUGAUGGAAGACACCAAAUGCACCUUGCUAUGGAGGGAAACAUUGCAUCCCACUAAAAAUAAUAUUCCCUUUUACUGAAACACACAAGAUAUCGAACCUGAUACUUGACCCUACUAGUAAAUGCGUACGUGCGAUGCACGUUGAUAUUAGUGAGAAAAUUAAUUGCACAAUGAUAUUAGGUGGACAUCAGAUACAUAUUAAUUAUUUGAUUAACACAAACGUUAAUAUUUGAUAUGAUAUUAAUUGCAUGCUAAACAUGAGGAGUGCUCAUCGAUGGAGCAAUUUAGACUAUUAGAUUGACAUGAUCUAAUAUCCGAGAGUAAUUAAAUAUGUUCUUUUGGGUAUAGAUACAGAUGUACUCGAUAUAAUUAACCUUCUAACCAUUGAACUACAUAUUGGCUCUCUUAUUAUUGCAUUUUCUUCUCUACCUAUGAUUAUUGUGGCUUCCUUAUUCUAGACCCGGGACUCGUAUCAACUCAUGACACCUCGAUUGUCAUCGAUUAAUAAGAAGAAGAAAAGAAAAGAAAACCUAUCACAGUUCGUUUUCGUUACACGUAGGCACCCGACCCUGCUACCUUCCACCGACUUCAUCAUCUCAACUUCCCAAUCCCACCCGUUCCCCCUUAGCCCCACGCCACCGCCAUCUCCUCGCCGGCGAUGGACCCGCUGCCCCCUUCGCCGGUGAACUGGGACUCGCUCGACGCUCUCGUGCUCGACUUCGUCAGAUCCGAUCGCCUCAUCGCCCCUCCCGCCUCCCCAUCGCCGCCCUCAUCCCCAUCCUCCUCCACCACCACCGCCACCUCCUCAUCCCCAUCCACCUCGACCUCCUCGUCCUACUGCUCGCGCAUCCUCAUCCGCCGGGCCCGUCGCGCGCUCGAGGCCGGCGACGUCGACGCCGCCCUCGCGCUCCUCCGAGCUCACGCCCCUGCCGCGCUACUCGACCACCGCCUCCUCUUUCACCUACACAAGCAGGUACCUAAACUCUCUCUCUCUCUCUCUCUCUCUCUCUCUCUCUCUCUCUCUCUCUCUCUCUCUCGGUUUAUGUUUUCCGGCACGCAGGCAGGAUGUCAAUUGUGUGGUUGUGCAGAGAUUCGUGGAGCUGGUGAGGCGGGGUACGGAGGUAGACAGGGAGGCGGCGCUCGACUGUCUCCGCACAGCUCUCGCACCCUGUGCUCUCGACGCCUACCCUGUGAGUGCUGCAUCGACUCCCUUCCUCUCGCCUCAAGCGCCCUUGAAUGAUUGAUUAUUGCACUGCCUUGAUUUCCGGUUGGGUAUACUAGUCUGCAUGUGUCCGGUUGGAUCACAUGAAUUUUGCGCGAACCUUGUCUGGAACGUAGGACUUCGGUAGCAAGUUUGCAGCAUUUGGUAUCUUAUAGGAUUUCUUUGAGCAAAUAUAUCGGAAUAAGAUGCUGCAGCAAACUCUUUUUUUUAUUACUUUCACUAAAUUCCUCCGUAAAGCUGUACUUAUGUUUUCAUACAAGCACUGAAAAUAGAAUUGAAUUACUAGAGGCCCGUGCACUAUGCCAUGUUCCUAUUUGAGAACACAAUUUCCAGUUCUUUCCUUUUCCAGCCCGGGAGGGCAAAUGAGAGAUCUAUUAGACACUCGCAUGUUGAACACAAAUACUAAAAAAGUAGAGGGUAUCCUGGCGUCCUUCCAGUAAUGAGCUGUUGUGAAUUAGGGGUAGAAAUCCAUCAGGCAGAGGAUGUAUGCUAAUGACCUGACAUACAAUGACACUACGGGAAGCAUGUCAUUGCUUGCGUGUCUGUGCUAGGCUAAUUUAUUAACAGACUACUUCAAAUGUCUAUGAAUUGCUGUGUACCAGAUGCUACAUCUCAGCUUGCUGUUGCUCCUGUCGGCCCUAACUAUUGUUGUGUCCGGUGUCCACUGCCUGCAUUGAGGAGGCAUGUAUUGUAGCCUAACUGAUAUGUCAUAUCAUCAAUGUGAAUUAUCCUGUGAUAUGUUUUUUUUACUUUACUAUCGUCAAGUUCCUACAUAUUCGGAUAUAGUCAUCUGUAUUUUUUGUCAUUCAUAUUCAUUGUGUUCGUUUGGAUUUUGCAUAAUGAAUAUUGGUGUGUUGGUAUGUUCCAAAGGAAGCGUACGAGGAAUUCAAACAUAUACUGCUGGUUUUGAUAUAUGACCAAGAUGAUCAAUCUUCCCCAGUCGUCAAUGAGGUAUGCACAAUCCUAACCGUCCAUAUACACUUUUUUAGGAAUAAUUACAAGCUAGCUUAGAUUUUCUCAUCAUUUCUGUUUUGAGUAUAUCUAGUUCUUUAAGUAGCGAUUUAGAGGUCCUUUUUCGCUGUUACUAGACUUGAGGGGAAAGAAAGCUUUAACUGUCAAUGUAAAGUAAGGAUUCUGAAUUACUCCCUCCGUCCCAAAAUAAGUGUCUCAAUUUUAUACUAACUUUAGUACAAAGUUGUACUAAGGUUGAGACACUUAUUUUGGGACGGAGGGAGUAUUUACUUAUCCAGAUAGCUUUUGACUGCUUUUGGUUCAUGGACAGUUUUCUGUGUAUAACUAGAGUGUCUUUAAGAUUGACCUACUCAUGCUAUUAAUUGCUAUGUUUGUUACUUUGUGGAACCUCUAUUUUCUGAUGGGAGAAUGCUAUUUUACAUCUUCAGCUUUAUUGCACUAUGUGCAAGCUGUUACUUUUUGAUAUAUGACAUAUUUCUUCCUGUUGGAAUUCUUUGCUCGACAGUGGUCUAUAAAGAGGAGAUUUGAACUUGCUGGGUUGCUAUCAUCCAUAUUAAGAGCUCAUUUACAAGCUUAUGAUCCUAUUCUCUCAAUGUCCUUAAGAUACUUAAUAAGGUACAUCAUAUGUUACAUCCUCUUCUUGCCUAACAUGGGUUGCUAGGCUACUGCCUCAUCGUCUGACAAUCUUACAACAUUUUGUAAAGCAUUCACAAAGUAUUCUGCUCGCGCCAAGGAGUUUCAUCACCUAUAUCUGAUCUAACUGAGCGGCUACUCUUCGAGGACCGUGAUCCGCCUGCAGUUACCCAGGAAUGUUCAGUAGAAGCACCACCAUUUGACGAGGCAAGCUCUUCUUGGUAACUGUUAAUUAUACUGUACUAUGCUCCAUAUGCCAGCUUUUAAUAAUCAACUCUUAGGUUGAUGUUCAAGCCCUAGCACAUGCGGUUGAGUUGACAAGACAAGGCGCUAUCGACAGCUUGAAGUUUGCAAAAGGAGAUUUGUAUCAAGCAUUUCAGGUCUUAUUACCAAAUAAAUUGAGUAUAAAAUUAUUUAGCUAUGAAUAUGGAUAUCUGUGUUACCACUUCCAUUUCAAAUACCUGUCAAAGGGAUAAAAAUGUUUUGGAUUUUCUUGCAUGUGUAAAAGCUGCACCUUUAGUGAGUUUGUUACUCCUUCAANNNNNNNNNNNNNNNNNNNNNNNNNNNNNNNNNNNNNNNNNNNNNNNNNNNNNNNNNNNNNNNNNNNNNNNNNNNNNNNNNNNNNNNNNNNNNNNNNNNNNNNNNNNNNNNNNNNNNNNNNNUUCAACUAUCAAAAUGUUCACUUGUCCCAUGUUGGCAGUCACAUCACUGCUUUUGUCUACUAGCUACUCUCUUCCCAUUCUUCCUCUGGUGUUCCUCUUUUCCACUUUUGACCUCUCUUUCCUAGCAUGGGUGCUUCUGGCAACCUCUUCCAUGCAGCUUCAGCUGAGGCGAGGCCACGGGCAGAAUGGAGCAUGUGAGGACUCCAUUCUCUGUUGUCUCUCAUGAGCUCUAUUGUGUGGAACCGCCGUCAGAGGACGAGUUGCUGAGGGACCAACAACACACCAUGACGCCUUUGAUUGAGGAUUUGUGAUGCUGUGCUAAAAUCUCUCACUCGUCUACAUCCUGCCUGCCACCAAAACCGCUGCAUUCCACCCCACACCAAGACAAUGAUUUGUCUGUUUGGGCAUUUCCUUGAGCAUGGUUGCAGUUGCACGCAUGCUGCAGGCAAGGAGCCCUAGCUAGCAUGGACUAAUUUCAUAAGCAAGCAAAUUAAUUGUUUGUUGAUGGGGUCACAAGCUUCAGAAAUUAGCAUCUAAGCAAGCAAAUGGAACAGCUGAUCUUGGAAGAUAAAAUUGAGAUCCCAUAGUUAUUAGCUAAAAAAUCAGUAGCUCUAAUCCUCAUAGGCACCCAAAUUUGCCAGCAAAGAUGGCUCGAGUUGCCACAGCCAAAUAGGAGGAGGCUCUAACUAGCUGGAUGAAGUUGCAAAAGGAUAGGAAGGCAUGAGUGCACCCAUUGAAGAAGCGGCAAGCCACAGCAUGGGUUGUGCUGUGAUGUGUGGUGGGGGGUCAGAGAGAUUAGAGAUUGGGUGAAAAGUUAAAAGGUUUUUGUUGUAGGGUAAAAGGCAAAAGCUACUGAUGUGUGCUUAAUUGCUUGUUAACACGUAACAUCUGGGGCUGUAAAUAUACCCUGGCUUGACCCGGUCUUGAUUUAAGCUUUGAGCCAAAUAUCAGGCUCUAGCUCAGUCCAUUGAGCCUACAGAACAGCUCAAGCUUGACUCACUGAAAGUUCGAAACAGCUUGAGCUCGCCUCAUUGGGGCUCAGCUAAACCACCAAAAAGAAUAUUACUUAUUUUUUUCUUAGCAGUUGUGCCGGUGCGCUAGGCAUAGAUUUCCAGUUCCAGUGCCUCAGGCCUUCAUUCUCUUAUAGCCGAGUCAUCCAGCCUCACCAUUGUACAGCAGCGAAGGUCAUACUAAAAAGGUACUGACCAUCCUGUUUUUAGCAAGCAAUAAAUGAUGGAUCAUAUGAUUCUGUGCUCCUUGUUAGGCGUAGCUUCUUGUGGACUUGGGCUUUAGGAAAUCGUGGACGCCCCAGGCCAUACGUGGAUGGUAUUGCCCAUUCCAAAUCGAGUUUGAACUGUUUGACGAGAACGAGCUGAAUUGACAGCCCUAGCCACAGCAGGCUAGUUCUUUGUUUGUAUUUAUUAUUCGGCAAUAGUUCCUUAUGCCUUCCUGAAUAUAUAGUAUCUGUAAUGUAAGUUUACUCUGUAAAAUUCCAGAACGAACUGUGCCGAAUGAAGAUGGACCUGUCACUUCUGGAUAAACUUGUACAUGAGUACUGUAUAUACAGGGGAAUUGUUCAAGGCUGUUCUCAUGCCCUUCCUGGUAAAUGACUGAACCUGUAGUUGAGCCUACUUGACAAUUUUAUGGCUUCAAAUACGUACUUCCAUAUAGUGCUCUCUAUUGCUUAGUUGACUCGUAGAAUUAUUACAUUUAUUUACUCCUGUGUAGUACUAAAGAGAAUCAUCUUUUGGAUAUUUUGUAGGAACUGCUGACAUGCAGUGCAGUCAAAACAUUGAUGUUAGUUUCAUAAAUAAUCAAGGAGCCAACAAUGAAGCACAGCUUGAUUGUGAAUCGGCUGGCAAGCAGGAUGACGGUUGUUGCACCAGUGAUAUUACCCAUCAUGAUUCCUGGUCGAAGAGAUUACGCAGGGUUAGAAGCAGUACAUCAGGGCAGGGAAGGCGAAAGAGAUGGAGAGGUCGAGCAGAUGAUCUUAAUUAUGCUUUUGAGACUCCAGUUGAUGCAAAUCGUGAUACCUUGUCUCCUGCCUUUGACAUGGACGAAGAUGUUGUAAUAGGAGAACAUGUAAGCUUUGUUUCAAAUCAUUGUUUUGCGUUACACUAAAUUUUUCAAAAGUUUAUUCAUAAUAAUUUCCCUGUUUUAGGACUCUGUGUUAGAUACUGGUUUGUCUGAUACUAGGAAUAUGCAAGAUCAGAAGUAUGAGGUUAUUUUAGAGAUGAGGGACCUCACACGCAAAGGAAUGGCUUCCAAAGUUGUGGAUGAAAUAAACAGCAUAGAUCCUGAUUUCUUUUCGCAAAACCCUAUUCUUCUGUUUCAGCUAAAACAGGUGUGAGCCCAACAUUGCAAUCACGUUAUUCUGCAGGCCUUGUAGGUAGGAAGGAAGAACCUUACACAUUUUGAAUCUACCAUUUCAGGUUGAAUUUCUUAAGCUAGUAGCUGCUGGAGAUCAUGUAGCUGCUCUCAAGGUUGCAUCUGCUCACCUGGGACCUCUUGCUGCCAGUAACCAAGCUUUACUGAAGCCUUUGAAGGAAACUUUGGUAACGCUGAUUCAACUCAAUGAGGAUGUACUCACAAAAGCAGUAUCGUUGCCUGUUCUUGCAAGUUCUCUGCAGGUAUAUUUGAUGUUUAUAUGUUGCAAGUCGAUACGAAGUCUCACCUAUCAGUGUAAUUGGUCUGCAUUUUCAAUAUCUGUUGUGUACUUGUGGUAUUAGACUGCAAUUUGCCAUAUCUCCUAUGUUCAUGAUAGAAGACACCAUCACUCCUUCUGUGGUUGGUUAGUAGCAGCAGUACAAGGCAAAACUGUCCUGCAGACUGAAAUCAAAGUGAAGGAAUCGGGGCCGUGUUCCGUCGUGUUUAUUUAGUGUGAAUUUGGAUGGUAUCAUGACAUCUUCUCUUCUGUAGCUUGCGAUAAGCAGGAGGCUUGGUAUUGAAGAACCUCAACUGAUGAAGAUAGUCAGGACAACACUUCAUACACACACCGAAUGGUUUAAGCUUCAGAUGUGCAAGGACCGUUUUGAUCAUUUUUUGAAGAUUGAUUCUCUAAAAGAGAUUGAUCCACCUGUGAGUCGCACUAUGUCCAAGGUUCUUACAGAUGAAUGUGGAAAUGGAUCUUCUCAGAUCACAACAUGCUCAAGUGGCAAGGUGCUGGAUGAAGGUAGUAGCCCUCAGGAGUCAUCGGAAGUUGUCUGCGAUGAAAGCGCUAUACUCAAAGUUAUGGUAAGUGGUAUAUAUCUUAAAAGCUUUUGUUAUUUGCUGCUGAUUAACUCCUUUCAUGAUAAGCCACGGAAUUACUUGUUAUCACUCGUGUGCCAUUGAAAUUGGUGCCUUUCAUGCCAUCAGUGACCGUUAGUCAAAGAUUAUGUUGGGUGUGGAAGACCCAUUUACCCUUUGUACAUUCCAAUGUUAUCUCCACAUUUCUAACUGAUUGCACUUCUGCUAAUGGCUUCCCCAAUGGGUGGCAACAUAUACAAUUCAUAUUCUCAAUCUUACUGUUACUUCUCUUUAAAGGCAAACACCCCUAGUUUGCAUUGGACAAGUUACUUAAUGCAGUAGCAGCAGGAGACGAAGCAAUUAACAAUAGUUAAUUAUGCUUAAACUUACAGCGAAAGAGGCUGUAGGAAAGGUGACGUCAAUGAGGUUGACCUAAGUUGGAUAUUAUAAAACACUUGGCUAAAGGAGAAAUCACAUUCUGAGGGCAAAUUAAAUUGAUGGAUCUCAACGAAUUUGAGUUUUGUGGCUUGGUGUUACACAUGGACACCCUUACCAGUAAAUCCCUCAGUUCAAAUAUCUUACGUUUUUUACAGUGCACGGUUUUUAGUAUGCAGCUUUGACCAUUGACCACUACUUUUUGUAUGAAGAUGGAGGUAAAAGAUCACAAAAAAUAGUGUGUAACUAAUAACUAUUUACAAUGACAACUUUAAUGGUACCGUUUGCACCUAACUUACCCAAAGAUUUUUGUACUAGUCAGUUAAAGAUGGAGAGGUUUGAGUUUGACGCAUGCUUUUUCAAAGGUCAUAUAAUUUGGAACAGAGGUGGUAUUUGUGGUUCAUAUCCUUUAAAUAACUUAUCCAGACAAAAGAAGUUCAUUCAAAUUGUCUGUUUAACGUUGAAUAGAUUUAGAGUGGAUAAUGAUGUUGAAUUUUGUACUUUAUAUUUAUAGAAUAUAUAUGCUUAUGCAUGUACUUCUAAGACGAAAAUGAUAUGUGCACUGCGAACAAGCUCUGUCAGUACUACCAUCUUCCCACCAGUUCCAUAUAUGAUUCAUCAAUUAAUCGCUUAGCCUUAUCUCCUGUUGGCAGGAAUUCCUUGCUUUGCCAAGGGCGGACGCCAUCCAACUACUCAUUCAGUAUAGCGGAAAUGCAGAGACAGUGAUCCAACAAAUCUUUUCAUAGUGCCUUGUGUAAAAUACCACACAUUUUAUUUUAUUUUAGAAAGCAAACUGUUUCUUCAUACUUUUCCUUCUUUAGCUGUAUUUGGACUAGGCGCCCAUUUCAACCUUGUGUGAUUCUCUUGUUGCUCAUGUAACACUGAAACUUAGGGGCAAAAAAGUCAGCAAGGACCAAAGAAUAAUGGAGAAGUAACAAGUGAUUGAAACCGUGGCGGUUGUGGACUCGUGAUGCGUUCGCCAGUGGUUUAAUCUUUGUUUGGCCUUUUGGUGUAUUCUGUGAUUAUGGAAACAAUGAUCAUAAAAAAACUGACAUGGAUAUACCCUCUGUGUGGAAUCAUGUAACAAGGUGUUGUACUAGAGCAUAAGUAUCAUGUAAUUUUAUUCGUAUGUGGCUGCUUUGUGUGCCAUGUAGAACUUACAUAUGCUAAAUGGUCGUAUCCUGGUGUUCUAUUGGAAUUGAUCAUGUCGACUAUAUCUGUGAGAUAAGUCCACAUUAUGCCCUGAACUUGUUCUGGAGUUCGUAUUACAACCUCGAAACUUCAGUUUUGUUUGAAAAUGCUCCUCAAACUCAUAAAAUCAUCUAAAACACUCUGUAUCCAUGGUUCACUGGUUUUGUCCCAGUGAAUCAUGUCUACGUCGUUGAAUUCCUUGCGUUUCCACUAACGUUUUGGGACUUCCUAUUUUGAAGGAGGAUAACUGUUCUCCUAUCCGCCACCUAAGAGCAUCUACAGGUGGACUUGCCAAAUCUGCCCUCCUAUACGCCUCAAAUUCCCUUCAAAUCUGCCCUCCUAUACGCCUCAAAUUUCCUUAAAUCCAUGCACGUCGAUCAUACGAUAUAAAUUGUCCGAAUUCAACAGUUAAAAACAAAGCAAAGCAAAUCAUAGUUCAACAAACCAUACAUUGGCCGGGCGCCUGCUCCGAGCGGAAUGCGUCCUGCUCCGCCUGCAUCCGGGCUGCCUCCUCCGCCUCCAUCCGGGCCGCAGCCGCCCUCGCCGCCUCGUACUCCCUGCGGUCGUUGAUCUCCUUCUUGUCCGCAAGCUACUUCUUCGCAUGCUCAUCCAAGAGGGUUUCGUCUGCUAACAUAAUCCCUGCAUCCUCCACAUUCCGUGCGAGUUGCAACCUCUCCUUUUCAAGCUCUAUGUUGCCAAAUGUCUUGGCCUUCUUGAGUUCCCAUUUGAUCGCCGCCUCUUGCUUCUCCAACUCGAUCUUCUCCCUCUCAAUUUUGAGCUUUCUCUCCGCCCUCUUCCGGUCCCACUUCAUCCUCUCCUUUUGCGCAUCCAACAUGAGCUUGUACCUCUCCACCUUCUUGUUCUCCCUCGCCGAAAAAAUGCCCGUCCAUGUGGACGACAUUUUUGUAGCCGCGGCGCCAUCGGAGCCAUGUGCCUUCUCCCACUUGUUUCUCAUGACUUGGCGGUUAUCCUUUGGCAUAUGGUGGCUUUUCCAUUCGUGACGGCAACAAUUGAUUGGUUGGAGCUUGAGCCAUCAUUCAUCUUCUUGCUGGACUUGAGAUCGGCCACAAGUUGGUUUCACUUCGGCUUGCCAUUCAAUAUGAUCCAACAAUGGCUAAAAGCAAACGACUUCUUCUCCACCUCGUGAUACAAGUGGCCGCCGCCGCCGUCCAGUAAACAACAUAUGUAUGAGCACGAGAAUUCCAACACAAGAAGCAUAUGCAAAUGUCGACAAGAUGAAGCAAUUGAGCUUACGUGAGUUGCCACUCCCGUCCCACUUUGAGGGCGUUUGGUCACUUGAGAGUAGUAGCCGACGUGCUUGUUCACUUCCCCUUGAAUGAUCCCCCAACAAUGUUGUAGAGAUGCCACAUUGCGGGUGAUCACGAUAGGAUGCGGCUCCACAUACUCCUUCCAAAUUUCUCCCAAUACUUGUUCCCCUUUUGCUCGGUGCCGCAUAUUGGAUCCAUCGUUGUGGCCAACCAAGCUUUGACCAACAAGAUGUCCUUAAAUCUUGAGAGUCCCGGACCUCUUGCCUUCGUCGUCUUGGUCUUCUUCUUCUUGCUCGGAUUGGGAUCGGAUGUUGUCCCAACUUCAAAUGCGGUGGUGGCCUCCAAUUCAUACCCCACUUUGGUCGGAUCUUCAUUGUCAUUGAUCAUGUUUGUCGAACGCCUCCUACAUGAUUAUGGUUUGCAAGCAUUCAUCAUGUGCGAAAUGAACUAGUUGUCUAUGCAUAAAUCUGAUUGGACGGGAGCAAAGAAAGCAUGCCGACUCUUGUUUGGUCAUUCCGUCGAACAUGUCGAGGGCAGCCCGGGCGUUGCCGCUGCCCGUUCUCAUCCGCACCCGAGCGAGCUACAGUGACUCACAUACAUCGACCACCGACAUCUGCAUGGGCGAAAAGCUCUCCGGAAUGGCCCAGCCGGUCGUCGAAUCCUCCUCUGUCCCAACGGGGUCGGACGACGUAAUCCGCGUCGGCGCUCGGAUGGAAGGGGUGCGGGGUUCCGGGCGCGGCGGAGGAGACAACUGCUCCAUCAUGUCCGAACCUCCCUAUGACACCACCGCCGCCUCCCUCUCUCGCUGCCGGCGUCGCCGCAACUUUCGGGCGACGUUCUCCGCCUUGCAAGUUGGAGCUGACGAAGGGACGCCGACGGAUGAGGCGGACUGCAUCUCUGCAGCGGCGGUCUGGGACGGGUUGUACGACAUCUCCAGCGUUGGAUCAGGACUGUUGGUGAGGAUUGAGAGCAAGGGUGGAGGAUGGCGAGGGUUCGGGCGUGGGAAAGGUUGGAUGGGCGGCGGGAGGAGGAGGAAGGGUCUGGUGGAUUUGGUGCAAUUUGCGGCGGGGUCGGGCUGUCGGGUCCAACGUGGCUGGCGUGCCCGGGCGCCCCCAUAUCUGCCCCAUAUUUGUGCUGAAUAUGAGGGGUGCCGGUCAGCCCGGGCGUUUGAGGCCCAUUUAAGGAGCCCGUCUGGGUUGAAAUUUCGCAACAGGACAGUGGUCGGGCGGCCCACCCGGGCGAAUGAGGCGGGUUUGAGGCGCCUUGCUGUAGAUACUCUAAGAUCUCCACGCUACUGCCUAGGUCACCCUCCUUUCCUUGCCCGACAGCCUGGGUGGUGGGCCAGAGGAGUGGGUCACCUCACCUACCUCGACGUGUCCAACCUGAAGCCGUUGAAGGGCUAGUAUUGGUAAUUGUUUCUAGAUAAGUUUCUCCUUGUAUCUUCGUAGUUGGUGUGUCAGUUAAGGGAAGCAUUUGGUUGGCUCUUGGUGCGGUGACUUCAACUUCUUUUAAAAAAAUUGUUUUGUGGCAUGAUUCGGUUUCUCCAACCUUCUGGCCUGACGCUGAAGGAUUGUAAGCCUGCGUUGCCUGGGUGAUGCCCAAAUUGAUGUCUCUUAUGCGAUUACUAGACCUUGGUUCUAGUGACUGAGUGGCUAUUGUUGUAUUCAAAACCUAGUAUGGCGAGGGAAUUUUCACGUGUCUCUUCCCUCUGCCAUUGGUUCAAUUCAAUUUUCAAGCUCCGGUAGGCGACAUACAAUCAUAGGAAAAGACAACUAGUAUAGCUCACAGUGUAGUUCCAUUUUUUACUGGCCAUUUUGUGCCGUUUUGUCUUUUCGGUUGUAUUAGCUUCUAUUUUCUUGAAAAUUACUAGAAAUAAGAUGCCCUUUGGGUGUCUUUCUUAAAACAUGCCACCUCAUCUAUUUUUCUUCCUUUCCACCAACUCAACUUUCUUGUUUGUCUCUUGUCGAUGUGAAUAUCCCGCCCGCCACCCCAAACUGAGCUCCCUGCCUCUUCCAAGCAACCAGGUAGACAUGCGCCGACUACCAGCAUGUAGGACUCGUACGAUACCUAGGUUAACUCUUGCGGCAUUGGCCUCCACCCCUGAGCUACUCGGAUUGCACGCACAUCAGCACAACGUAAGUGGCUUCUUAUGACAUUUAGCUUAUCUAAUUCACCAAGUACUUUUAUGCGUUUGAUGAACCAUGUGCUUAGACAUUUGGUUGGUAAAUUUAUGGUUUACUAUGAUAACAUCCUUGUUUAUAGGAAAUCUCUAGGUGACCAUCUUGCACAUGUUUCUCAAAUUUUGAAACUUGUUUGAAAUGAGAUACUAUAUGAUAAUUUUGAGAAGUGCACAUUUUUGCAUCAAUAAACUUGUGUUCUUGAGUAUUUUGUUUGAUCAAAUGACAUUGAAAUUGAUAAAGUUGAUACUAUUAUAACUUUGCCCUAACCCACUAAUGUGACUCAAGGCAUAGUUUUCUUGGGUUAGUCGGUUUUUAUCGCCUUUUUGUUAAUGAUUUAUAGUACCAUUGCUUCACAUGUGCAUGUGCUUUCGAAGAAAGGUGUGGCUUUUGUUUCGGGUCAAUCACAAGAAAGUGCUUUUCUAGAUCUUAAGGGCAACUUAAUGCUCCAUUACUUGUUUUACCGGAUUUCAACGAAACCUUUGAGAUUGAAUGUGAUGCUACUUCAAACGGUAUUGGCGGUGUUCUUAUGCAAGGGCUUUGACAUAUAGCUUACUUCAGUGAGAAAAUUCUAUGGUGCUCAACUAAUUUAUCUCAUUUAUGUGAAAGAGUUAUAUGCUUUGGUUCAUGUUUGCAAGUUUGGCAUCAUCAAAUUUGACCAUAGGAAUUUGUCAUUUCUUUCCAAUCACGAGCCUUUUAAAUACCUUAAGAGCCAACCAAAACUUAUUUGUAGACAUGCCAAAUUGUGGGAUCGUUUAGUACAAUGUACGAUGGGGGGGGUGAAUAGGCUACAAGCAAUAAAGGAGAUUCUUUUCCAAAUUUUUAUCUUUAUGGGCAAUUUCAAGCUUUUCUAUGGUAGUUUGCAAAGCACCCUACACAUGUAAGUCUAAUAUAGAGUAUAGCGGUGAAAAGUAAAUACUUACAAAAGUAGAGGUCUGAGUAGAGUAAGAGAAAUACAAACAUCGGUUGGCUCGGUGGAUAUUUUUUCAUGUGAUUCAAAUAGUUGGCGCUAUUCUACUCCAUGUUGAUGGAGGUUUCGAACCACAAAGGUGUUCUAAGAUCACGAAGGUCAAGGUCACGAGUUCCACGAAUCAAAUGAAAUCGUAUCAUUCUGUGAUAAACCAAAUGGGCUAGAAAGGAACGCCAAAAUGUUCGAUGGUAUGGCUUCACCAGUGCAAAAGUUGUAUGUUUAGCGGUGGACGAGCACAAGCAAUGGGUGCUUGCUAGUCCGAAGGAGGUAGACAUUAAGAGACAACAUUGACUGUGAUGGGUGGUUGCGGUGUCGAUCCCUUGCUCAUUUCGUGCCCUACCCGUAAGUGUAGGCGUCUAUCGUCGACGGGAACGUCUCCUCCCACUGAAAAAGUAUCGUCGGAAAUCCUGAAAUAAAUUCAGAAAUAAUUGGAGCACCAGAACUUUAACCCUGAUGGGCUGGAGAUACCACUGUCCCUUUAACCAUCCAACCACAGAUUGAUUCGCGCAACAUUGAUUUUGCUUGUUCUUGAAAAGGGCAAAACAACCAAAUGAUAUCGCGUCAUUCUUUAAUAGCUAUAAACUCCAUCCGUAAGUGUGGUAUUCUUCAAAAUCAAAAGAAAAAAAAGCAUAAGUGUAGCAUUGGUCGUGGUCGACCAUCGUCCCGCUCGCAUCACGUGUUGCGCCAGCAGUUCGCUAGAUAAGAUCGCGCGUGAAGACUACCGGACAUAUAGUUUUUCCGUUGUUAAUUCCCGGAUUGCAUGCAGACAUGCAGUGCGUACUCCUCGCUCGUCUGGCGACUCUCUCUCCUUCGACUCAGUAGGUUAGUUAGACCGAGAUCGCGUUCUAGUAACAGACUAAACGGUACUCGCCAUCAUCGGGCAACAACCUUACCUGCUGUAUAUAAGGGCCGAAGGGCUCGCCACCCCAUUCGUUCAUGCGAGCGAGAUUUCCAAUCUAAUCGCUGGUUCUCCGCCCACAACGAACCUAGCCAGAGAUCGUCGGAGAUGGCGACCUUCCGCGUCGCGGACGCGUCGGAGUACCUGGCCAUCACCGGCUGGGGCAUCGACGACGUCAAGCUCGCCAAGAAGGCGUGGGUCUUCGUGGGGCAGCAGUGCAAGAAGUUCAGCAUCUCGCCGGUCAACUACGAGUUCGAGGUGCACGCCAUGAGCGCCGAGAAGCUGCCCUUCAUCCUCCCCGCCGUCUUCACCAUCGGCCCCAAGAUCACCGCCACCGGGGCAGAGGCGUCAGACAAGAGGGACCUUGAGGCGCAGCUCCUCCUCUACGCCAAGCUCAUCGCCCCGCUGCACAGGUCGAGGAGCCACGUCCACGAGCUCGUCAAGGGGAUCAUCGAGGGCGAGACCCGCGUGCUCGCCGCCGACCUCACCAUGGAGGAGAUCUUCAAGGGGACCAAGACCUUCAAAGAGAAGGUCUUCAACAGGGUGCAGCUGGAGCUUAAUCAGUUCGGACUCGUCAUCUACAACGCCAACGUGAAGCAGCUGGUGGAUGUGCCGGGGCACGAGUACUUCUCCUACCUCGGGCAGAAGACGCAGCAGGAUGCCGCGAACCAGGCCAAGGUGGACGUGGACGAGGCCCGGAUGAAGGGAGAGGUGGGCGCCAAGGAGAGGGAGGGCCUGACUCGGCAGAACGCCGCCAAAGUGGAUGCUGAGACCAAGGUGCUGUCGGUGCGGCAGCAGGGUCAGGGGCUCAAGGAGGAGGCCAAGGUGAAGGCCGAGGUGCAGGUGUUCGAGAAUGCAAGGGAGGCCGACAUCGCGGCGGCCAAGGCCGAGCUUGCCAUGAAGAAGGCCGGAUUUGACAAGCAGGCCAAGGUGGCUGAGGUUGAGGCGGCCAAGGCCGUCGCCAUCCGCGAGGCCGAGCUCCAGAUGGAGGUCGAGCGCAAGAACGCCAUGCGCCAGACCGAGAAGCUCAAGGCCGAACAGCUCAGCAAGGCCACAGUGCAGUACGAGACACAGGUAUCUACGUAUGCAUGUGCUUAAACCUUUGAUACGUUUCAUCGAUCUCAUGCAUGCAUGUGUCAAUUUCUGCGUGUAGGUUCAAGAAUCAAACGCGCUGUUCUACAGCAGGCAGAAGGCGGCGGAGGCGGCGCUGUUCGAGCAGAUGAGGACGGCGGAGGCGCGCAAGGCGCAGGCCGACGCGCAGUUCUUCGAGCAGAAGAUGGCCGAGGACGCCAAGCUGUACGCCAAACAGAAGGAGGCGGAGUCCCUGGCCCUGCUGGGCAGGGCCAAGACGGAGUACGCGGCGUCCAUGCUCCAGGCGCUGGGCGGCAACUACUACGCCCUCAGGGACUACCUCAUGAUCGACGGCGGCAUGUACACGGAGAUGGCGAGCAUCAACGCCGGCGCAGUCAACGGCAUGCAGCCCAAGAUCAGCAUCUGGAGCAACGGCGCCGGCGCGGACGGCGCCGCCGCGAAUGCCGGCAAAGAGGCCGCUGGAGGCAGCGCCCUGCAGCAGGUGGCCGGGGUGUACAAGAUGCUGCCGCCGCUUCUGUCAACGGUGCACGAGCAGACUGGGAUGCUGCCGCCGGCGUGGAUGGGCGCGCUGCCCAAGGACGGCGCCGCCAACUGACCGUCGUGGAGUGCGCGUUCCUCGUUUGAUUUGGUGCCAAGACUCUCGUCAGCUUAAGUGUUAAAUUAGGUUGCUUCAGGGCCCGCGUUUUUUCAGGUUUAAAGAACUAUGAAUAUCCCAGAUGUUUGUCUGCUAUCAGUCGUGUUAUGUCUCGAACAUUUUCGUGAAGUAUUGUUAAGAUUUAUUUUUAGCACCUUUGAUAUUACAAGAAACUUUUCAGAGCAGAACAAGUUCUCAUAUUAAAUGUAGGUUACUUGUUAUAUAUAUGUAAUUCCUCUGUUUCAAAAUAAGUGUCUCAACUUUAUCUAAUUUUAAUGUAAAUUUAUACUAAGCUUGAGACAUUUAUUUUAGGAUGGAGGGAGUAUUAAUUUUGACUUCGCAGCAAUUUUUUUUACAUGAUAAUACAUGUCUUAUUUAUAUCAUAAUUAUUAUAGUACAAGUCACCUAACCGAUCUGGCAAAAUAGGAAAGACAACAAAAAAGCUAGUAUUUGCAUAAAGGACAACAAUCAAGAAGUAAAAUUACAAUCAAGAUUGAAGAAACCUCUGAACUUGACACCAAAGCCCGUCACCUGCCUCUGAACCACCACAGCAGUCAUCAAAGGAAAAAAUGACGGAUCACCUUCACACCCGAGCUCGUAACGGCUCCAUCGCUGAUAUGCAGUUUUGCGGACCUCCAAGGUGGCUCACCAAAGGCAAAACCAUUACCGUUAAACGAAUCAGACCGGGGCAACACCCCGGGCACGCCAUCGAACUCCAGAUCUGGCACCCCCACACGACUAGAACGCCGGAGGAGAAAACCACAUCUGCCAUCCACGAACCGCGAACACAGCACACGAUCUACCAUCUUCCAGAUGUCGCCGAUGCAGACCACAAUCUGCAUCCGCUCCUGGACUACCUCCCAAGCUCCGCGCCGGCGCUGGAGCAAACGUUGUCGUAACGGCAGAGCCCGAGGAUACAGGUCCGCCACAAGGAUGUCGCCGCCGCCACGCCAUUUUUACUUGAACAGACUGAUUUCCAAAUCCAUCCCCAACCAUAGGACCGAUCGCCUCGUUGGAGUAGGACCCGAAGAAACUUUAUUCAACGCCGCCAUCGCCGUCGCCGAAACCAAGACAAUGAACGGCCUAAAAAUCCUAAUCUACGAGAGAAAAAACGAUCCACACGCGUGGAUCCGGCGACCCCCUCACCACCGACGACCGAGGCCGCCGGCGGAGGGGAGCCGCUGGACGGCGGCGGCGGGAAAGACUCCUGGGGCGACUUCGCAGCAAUCUUCGGAUUUAUUUUUAGCACACCGUCUAUAUGAAUACACAUGCACCCGUAUUCCCCACUUCACAGAAAAUAGAAUCCCUGGACCUAGCCUGGCCUCAAAUGUUUUCCGUGCGGGCUCAUAAUAGAACUACUCCGUUAAUGAUCCUCUCCCCAAAAUCAACUAGGAAUUAACAAACUGUCAAUAUUACUUGCUUUUGUCCUUGCUUGAAAGUCGGCGCAGAAGAAACAAAACGGGCUACAUGGAGCCCUUUUUUCGAAACAUUCAAAAUCGCUUUUCAAAGUUUCAAAAAAUUCUAAAAGAAAUUCCACAUUGAAAUAUGAAUGUGUACUACAUAUGUAUAAACUUUCACCUAAAAAUACAUUGAUUCGUGAGCUACACAAAAAAAGAGAAAUGCUUCCAAUGUCAGCGAGUUGUCUUUUUUAUGUAGCCCGCCAUGUCAAUGUAUUUCGUCAUUAAUUUUCGCAAGCAUGCAAUAUAUAUCCGUAUGAUACUGUGGAUUAUUUUUCAGAAUUUUGGAAGCACUGAAACACUUUGAAUAUUCCAAAAGAACAAGCUCCAUGUAGCUCAAGCACCAAAGCUAACUUUUGAAAUAUGUUGUCAUACAGCAUGGCAUAGAUAUAUAUUGGCAACUCCAUGUCCAUUUGAAAUACUCACUCCGUCCGGAAAUACUUGUCGGAGAAAUGGAUAAAAAUGGAUGUAUCUAUGAUUAAAAUAUGUCUAGAUACAUCCAUUUCUUCAACAAGUAUUUUCAGACGAAGGGAGUAACAAAUAAGAUGUACUCCCUCCAUUUCAAAUUACUCGUCGCAGAAAUAGAUGUAUCUAGAACUAAAAUACGUCUAGAUACAUCCAUACCUGCGACAAAUAAUUCGGAACGGAGGGAGUAGAAGUCAAGAUGAAUGCUAGCUAGGAUAGCCAAAGGAUCCCAUUUUCCCCUUCCCUGCGCCGCUCGUUCGAGCGGUGGCCCCCGCGCCCAGUCAGGCUAGCACUCCCCUCCCACCCUCGUCCUCAUCGUCGUCGAAGGAAAUUGCCUGGCAAAGCCCCGCGCGGCGGACGACGACGAUGGGACUCUCUCCCUUGCGGUUGGCGAUGCAUAGGUAGGGUUCUGGGCGGGCGCCCGAUCGCGACAGUCACGCAGGUUGGCGGUGACGCGGGCGGCUCUUCUGCUGCAGUGGUCAAAUCCGGGGUGGCGGUGGUGCAAGCCGAUGUGGAGACGACCAUGGAUGUGUUCGCAAGAUCUGGCCUCCUCGGCGAUGAUGGCGCACAGCUCUUCUUCCAUGGGGGGUCUAUCAAGCUAGCAGUUUGUUCUCCCCUCAUCUACAGGCCCGAUCUCGGUUGUUUUGACAGCCAUGGCCGGGAAACGAACAGAGGCAACGCCUGCAGAAACCAUCUCCUCCUUGGAGGCAUCGUCUUGUCCUUGGUUGUACUCCGAUCUGGGAAACCAUAGAUCUGGUCCGCUUGCCAGCGGCGGCGCUGCGGUGUCGUCCCCACCUUGGAGGCGUCGCUUGGGUGCCUAUGGUGUCUGCCAGAGCGGGAGCUGGUGUAGGUUGCUUCGCCUGUCUCAGCUAUGGUGCUUGGGGCCACAUGUUGCUAUGAUAUGGUUGAUGUUGUGGACAUGAGGAUUUGGGCCGUGUUGCUAUGAUAUGGUUGAUGUUGUGGACAUGAGGAUUUGGGCCUCUAUGGGUGGAGGGUGCGUUGAUAGCCUGGUCCAAUUUGGCCGUGCUUCCAAGAUGUCUGGCUAUGGUUUGUGACGCGGUCAUCGUGCUAUGUGUUUUACCUCGUCGCCAUUCAUGGCUUGGGUUUGAACAAGACGAGUGGUGUGUUGUUUGUUGUUGUGGUGGUGUGGUUGAUAACCUCUCGGUUUAGCGUUGUAUGCGGAAAGACUUUGUUCCAGUCAUCUUGGAUCUUAUUCUAUGUUACUGAUGCACCUCUCUAGGGUAUCCUUGAAAAAAUAAGGUAUGCUAGCAAGAAUUUAAGCUUCCCAAAUCGAUGCUUGCUUAAGCUCUAGUUGCAGUGAUACGCAAGCUUUUGCGUAUUCAUGGAAGAAAGAAAAUUAAGCUCCAGUUGCCAAUAGUCCGCAAGCAAAAGAAAAGGAAAUAAGCAUUAGCACGGGAAAAUUCAAAGUUGCUUUAACAUUGCUCCUUGAUUACCUCAAAUUGCCUUGCAUUCUGUCCACUAGGCUAGGCUGACUGGCUGAAGAAGUCAAAACGAUUCAACAGUAGGCAUUGGGGCACUUCGCACAACAAUUAGGCAACUUAACGACAAUAAUCAGUUUGAUAGGCAUUAGUAAUAACACAUUUCAAUCCUGCAAAAAAAAGCAACUUAACCGUCCUUCCAGAAAUUGGGUGCACCAAUGUGACAAUUGAGUGGGAUUGUCUUAGAACUUAUUGAAGCAUGCACUCCUAAUGAGAGUUGGAAGAAAUACUCUUAUUUUCUUUAUUGUUUUGAAUCUAGAUGCAUCUUUUAUGUUGGCUUGUGAUUUGAGGGAUGCUUGGUGUGAAUCUUGUUCAAUUAGUGCGUUUCGUGUGAUUUGCUCCGUGUUGUUUGUGGAAUCCGCCUCCAAUCAUUAGAUCAGAGCUGAUAGUCGAUUUAAUCUCAGAAAGAGUGCCGAUCUGAAGACGACCCACGUGCACUAUCACUACGUGUGGCCGGUGAUACAUUUUGUCAUAUCAAAAUUGGAUUAAAACGGUGUUAUGUAUUUGAUCAUAGGAGAAUCAGGGAAGAUCGCAAGGCCUAGAAACACCCAUAACAGUGUAGUACAAACAUACCUACUCAAUGCAGAGCAGAAAUUGGUCUCAACGACAGAAACAAACAAGAGCGCAACAUAACCAAGCAAACUGGAGCUAAUUCAAUCCUGUGACACCUACCUAAAUUGUAUCGAAUUUCAGAGCAAAGACAAUACAAACAAAAACCCAAUGGUACUAACAAGAAAUAAGAAAAAUUGUACAAGCAACAUACAUACCAACAGUGCAUAAACAGGCGGGCGGGAGUGCGGCCCGGCAGAAGGAGCAGGCAAACCGUGCAGACAACCAACAAAGUGUAUCAUACCGUAACUAUUCAGAUAUUCAACUAUCUUUUUGCAUCCCCUUGAAUCAGGGAGGAGAAACACCACAAAAGUUCAGUACCAACAUCACCGGUUUCUACUCAAUGCACUGCAGAUAUUUCAGGGAUGGGAAACAAGCAAGAGUGCAAUGUAACAAAGCAAACCCACUGUCAUUAAUGCGGAUUUUGCUAAGGAGUUGAACAAGAAAACAAGAUUUUCACAUGAACACAACCAAAUAAACAGCAGAAGACCUACGAACGCCCAGCCUGGCCUACGAGCUACACUCUAAUUGACUGCAGGGCGGAACUAUACUCACAGUGCAGGACUGGUUCCAAUUUCCAAAAGCCAGUUCAAAGAAACUCAUAUCUAGUUCAAUCCUGUAAACCUACCUAAAUUGAAAGACACUAUCAUAGCAUAAUUGCUUUAAACACCAAAAUAUGUGUUUAUCAGAAAAGCAAUAAUCAACGGUUUUAUAUAGCAGCACUAAACAGCAAUAGGAACAAUUGUACAACGCACUAAACCUAUCACAAACCUAGAAGACAUGUACCACUACUGAACGUUAUUGCUAUGUUAUGACAGCAUCAUCGGCCUGCAUAGACCAAUUCGUUGGAAAGUGUUGGACGAACAUGACAGUGAUUACAUAUAUAUAAUUAACAAUAGGUAGAUAGCUCAUAAAUCAAUCGAUCAUCGAGCAACGAGCAUAAACUUCAAAGAUCAACAGUAAUAUAUCGAAUCACUUCAGAUAAACGGUGAGAUAAACAGAUCAUGUCCACCAUACGCAGAUCAAAACACCUCGAACUUAAGCCUUGAGUUCAAAACAUUACUUGCCACAAGUAACAGAUCUAAAAGACAUAAAGCAUAAUAUAGGGGUACGAUGACGAUGCGGAGGAACCUAGGCGCGGUUGCCACCGCGGGGUCCGUUGAAGGGCUGGCGGUAGGGGGCGGCGGCAGAGGUGGUUUCGGGGGCGCGCUCGACGCCGGGGAGGUCAGCCAUGCCGAGGAACGCCAGCAUGUCCAUGGUCUCCUUGUCGACGCGGAUCUCGUCGACCUCGAGCGCCGACUUCUCCGGCACGAAGUCCAUGCGGCGCUCACGCUCCUCCUCCUGCAGCUUGAGGGAGAUGCCGCGCACGGGGCCGCGCUGGAUGCGGCGCAUCAGAUGGGUGGUGAAGCCGGCCACCUUGUUGCGGAGGCGCUUCGACUGGAGGAUGGAGACCUCCUCUAGCACCUUCUUGUUGGUGUGGAAGUCGAGGGUCAUCCGAGAGUAGUACUUCUCGAUGACCUGGCGGGAGGUCUUCUUCACGGUCUUGGUGCGGACGCGACCCAU